AUUUGGUUCCUAGCUCCUUUGGCUACUGAUGUGGAUCCUAGAGGAAUAAUAGAUUUAAUGGCCACAUGGCCCACACUCUGUUCCUUAACAUGUCUGCCACCGUCUGGUGUAACUAAUGGUACUCUUGUCCCCUGGAUCCUAUGGACAAUACGGAAAGCACGAAACAAACUCAUAUUUGAAGGUUUCUCCGCAUCUCCUGAAGAGACUCUUUCAUCAGCCAUUGGACUAGCCCGCGAAUGGGCUACUUCCUGCAAAACAGAGCCGCUUAAUCUUCCUGGAAGGAGCCACCAGAGACCUACAGCGCCGGAUGGUGCAGUGAUAGUACAGACCGAUGCGGCUUGGAGCGCAAUUAAUAAUGUCGCAGGUUUAGGUUGGGCAAUUGUGGCACCUGCCCCAACGCAAGCUUUCCAGGAACGGGUAGAGUUCGUCAACUCACCUUUAAUGGCAGAGGGCUUAGCCAUGAGAGAAGCGGUUUUUACCUGUCGCAGGUUGGAGCUCAAAGUCUUGCGGGUUGAAUCGGAUUCAGCCCAGCUGGUCAAGUGUGUCACCUCCUCUUUCCAAGUAGCAGAGCUCCAUAGUGUGGUGUCUGAUAUAUUAUAUGUGGUUGAUAUAUUAUAUGUGGUUGAUGAGUUUGAAUCUAUCUCUUUUGCUUGGAAUCCCUAGAGAGAAAAAUAAGUUUGUUGAUGGUCUGGCAAAGAAUGCCUUGUCUGUACUAGAACCAGUGGUAGUUGAGGAUGCUUUUACUGCUCCUAACUAACCUCCUAUCUUUUAAUUAAAUGGGUGUUUCAAAAAACAUAACAAUAACUUUUAUGAAAAACUCAUAUGUAGAUUUUUUAGACGUUUGUAUGUAAAAAUGUUUGGCUUGAAGUCCAAAUAGACCAAGAAACUAUUAUCUAUAUUAAAAAAAGAAUUCUGGACCAGAAUAAAAAUUCUAUAUAUUAUAAUAGAAAUCAAACUAGUUUAUUCUACUAAGCUCAAUUUCGUAAAAUGGUAUAUCUGAAGGGAAUGCAUAUCUUGAAGAUACUGCUUGGAAGAGAAAAAAUAUAAUAAUGUGUAUAGUUGUACUCUUUUUCUUUAUCAUAAUUUUUAUCCCAUUGAAAUUUUCUAAGACAACGUUUUAACGAAGCAACAUAGAACACACAAACGAUAGACACCCCAGAUAAAUAUUAUAUUUCAAAGAAAAAGUGUCUAUCACCAAUCUAAAGUCUUUGAAAUCAAGAGAAUCAGAGAAAAUGAUCAAGUUAUAGGAGGAUCCAUGCAGUGCAGAAGAAUGACGAAAUUUGUGUCGUACAAGUUGUUCAAGUGACAGCUUAGCUGACUUAUUCAAGAUGACGUUACCCACUGCUACGUCGAAGAAGCUAAUUUAUCUUACUGGAAUAUAUUAUCUCAAAGAUCUCUACGCCUGUACAUAUGUACGCGUUCCACUCUUUUUUCCUUAACCAUGAUUUUUUAUUGGUUUUUUUGGUAAAAUUUUUCACGAGGCAACAUCUAGACGUUUUGAAAGCACUUUGGUAUAAUGGACAUCAAGGAAAGAUGUUAUGAACAUUGUGGUGAUGUACAUUAUGGAAAGUUGCAGAUAUACUUAUUUCCCAAACUUUACUUAUUCUUAAAGUUAUACUUUAUCUCCAAACUAUUGUAUUCUUAUAUAAAAACUCAUUAUUUAUGAAUAAUAUGCACCAAUUCCUCUCUCCUCUUUUUGCUUACAACAAUUUUAGACCUACUACAUUUUUUUUGUUUGCAAAAUACUAUUUUUCGUUGGUGUGAAAUAUAUGUUUUAUUCAACUAAGACUCAGUUCUGUUCGUUUGGUUUGUUUAAACCUACUACACUUUCCUAUACUAUAUGUUCUAGUUACACACCAAUUUGAUUUAUAGAACUUUAAGAAAAAAUAUACAAAACUCUAUACUAUCUGACCAUAAACAAAUAAAUAUUGGAUGUAAUUGUAAUCUUGUAUCAUUGCGAUACAAAGCAUACUAUUUUUAUAGUUACCGAUGACAGAGAAGCACAAAAAGCAUUACCAAAAAACGUUAUAUACAGUAUACUAGGUGAUAACCCGCGCCCUGCGCGGAGUAAAUAGAUUUCAAAAUAUUAUCACUUUUAAUUUGUAGACAUAAUAAAAGUUAAAGUUAUAGCAAGAAAUACUAUAUGUUAUAAAGUAAGGGUUAGACGAAAUUUAGUAUGUCAAUCUAAAUUAAGCUGCGGAAUUUUUGUUUAAAAAUUGUAUAUUUGUUUGCAUAAAAUAAAUUAUAAAUAUAAAAUAAAACAAAACAUAAGCAAUAGACAAAUAAAAUAUAAAAGAAACAAUGUCUUGAAUGGUUUCAAAUCGGAAAUAGAGUUAAAGCCAUCCAUUUGAUUGCUUGAGAGAAUGUUUUGAUAUGAGCAAAGUCGAGAAGAAAGGUGUGGUGAGUUUUCUGAAUUAUAGAAGCCGUAUAUUUAUACUAAAAAGGAAUCGCCAUGUGGUCAUAUGGAUUCAAAAUAAUGGCUGUAACUAAAUCGAAUAUUACACAUAACUUGCGUUCCAAUCUUAGUCGAGAAUUAAUUUAAUAUUGUAAAUAGUUAAUGCAAACUUCCUUUUAUCAAUCGCAAUUGAACAAAUUCAAGAAAGUUCACGAUUAUUAAUUGAUUACAAUAAUUUGAACCUUAAUCUACGUUCCUUAUAUACAAAAGUCAAGUCCUCGCAAAUCACGUAUUAUUACCAUCAAUUUACCAAAUUUGUAAUUUAAAAAUAUAUCAAAGUUAUUAGAAGUUUCCUUUUUCCCAAUCAUCAAUCAAUUUCGUCCUUGCAAAUCACGUUUGAAUCAUGGGCAAUUUGCUCCGCCUUUAUUUGCAUUAUGCAAGCUGGCGUUAAAAUCUUAAUUACGAUAGAUCACCUAAGGUAAGUUUUUAUAAUUGUAUGCCAGAAAAUUGUAUUGUACCUUAGUUUCUACAAUCGCAAGGCGGAGAUCAUCUAACAAUUUAAUGAAACGGGGCAAGUAUAUACCAUAUGCAUGGUUCUUCUGUUUCACUAUUUUAAGAAAACAAAGUUUUCCUCUUGAUAUAUUUUUAAGAGAACAAAUAUUUUUUCGCAUUUUUAAGAAAAUCAAUCACUUGAGUACGUAUUGAUCAUCAAAUACUUUUUAUGAUUUUUCAGAAAACAAACUUUGAUUGAUAAUCGCACAUUAACUUUUUCGCAUCUAUAUUCAUUUUGAAUAAAAAAUUAGACCACUACGUAUGUCAGUAAUGUUUUUGUAUUGAAACAGAUUAAUGAAAAAACUUCAGUCAAGGUAAUUAACAUAAUUUUAAAAUCUUUGAUGUAAUACGUAGAACUUCGGUUAAGGUAACUAACGCAAGAAAUAAAUGAUAAGGUUUGAUGUAAUACGUAUCAACGUAUAUAUGUGACAAAUGUAGACAAAACUAAGGUAAUUAUAAUAUUUUGAUUAAUGGCAUGAUGUGUAAUUACUCUAGUUAACAAUGGGGUUUUAAAUAGAAUAGGUGAGGGAGCUUGUGGAGUUGCCACGUAAGAAAUGACACACUUGUAAUAAACACAUGAACUAAAGGUUAUUUAUUUUUAAUGCUCCUCAAAUAAUAAAAAAGGAUAUCUAAAAUUAAUAAUUUUGGGACUGUAAAUAUUUAUUAAUUUGCUAAAUUUUUAGUUUAAAGAACUUUUUUAGAUUUAUUUUAUAAAAUAUUACAAGAAGAAAAAUUGAAUCGGUGAAAUCAUAUACUAAUUAAAUUUUAUAAUUUCGUGUCUUUUAUAAAAUUAUUUAAAAAAAUUUAAGUAUCGAAGUUACAUAUCCUAGAAUAUAAAUACAAUUUAUGUAAUUCUAUAAAAUAAUCCUAAAAUAUUAAAAUGUACAAAAAUCAUAGAUGAAUUUUAUUUUUAAAAACAAACAAUACAACGUCCCCAUGUAUUUACAAUACAAAUUUGUACAAGAACAAUUUUAAUUUAUUAUUUUAAUAGAACCAUAUAUUUAUUUUAUAUUUUUUAAAUUUAUUAUUUUUUGGAUUAUGUCAUAUUAUAUAUUACUAACACCACUGUGGCCUCCUCCCCUCUCUCUCUUUAAAUUCUACUUGUCAUUGUUCUUUUUCAGUUUGUUUGCUUUGUCCUGAUCUAUUUUAUUUCCUUAUUUCAACAUAAAAGCCAGUUAAAAAAAUAUUUUAUAUUAGUUCAACUUAGAAUUAAUUUAUCAUGAAAGUCAUUUAAAAUCUAUUAAUUUAUUAUGUUUAUUAAUUUAUCGAGUAUUAAUUUAUAGAAUAUUUACUACAUCUAUUUAGUUGUUUUUAUGUGGUUUUAAGUUGCCAAUCAGAGACUCGCUAUAUUCUUUUGUUUAUAUUCUUCUUUUCGGUAUUGACAGAGGCUAGGCUCAGAUUUAUUAUCAUGGAUCCGAGAUUCGCUGUAGAUGCGCUCUGAAAAUAAGAUAUCCGGGGUCCGGAUCCAGAUCCGGAUAAUAAAAUCUCAGAUCUGUUAAACCGAUCUGCAUUCGGAUAUCCGGAUCCGUAUCCGUAUUUUACAAAAAUAUUAAAUUUUUAAUUUUAUUAAUAAUUACGAUUGAUAUAUUGAUACAUAUACAUAAAAUUAGUUUUAUAAUGUUAUAUUUUAAUUUAGCAUUUUAAAAAAUAUUUUUUAUUUAAUUAUUUAAUUAUUUUACGGUUCUGUAUUCAGCAAAUACUUUAACAUCUAGACGGAUAUCUGAUAUCCAUAUAUCCGGAAUCUACGAAUCCGAAUACGAUUCCGAAAACAAAUAUUAGAUCUACGGAUCUGGAUACUUCAAUUUUCCUAGAUAUCCAUAAUUGUCCCACCAAUAACAUAAGCGGACUCAAGUUAUAUGGAGAGGUGUUAGCUGGCACUGUAUUAGAACCUUCGUCUCUUUCUUUGUUUAAUUAGUUUUCGAAUUAACCAAAUCUUCCUUGUUUGUUGAGAGAACUUUUCUUUUUAUAAUUUAUGCACGAGUCUUCUCGAUCAAAUUUAAUUAUUUAUCUCUUAAAAAAUUUCUUUAAAAGAAUUAAGAGUAGUCAAGAUUGUCUAAUUUUGUUUGAUUUAACUCUAAUUCAAUAGAUUUGGAGCUAUCUAUGUUGGGACAAUGUUGUGUUCUAAAAAAUAGGUAGUUGUUGAUCUUUCAAACUUCUUUAAACAGUACCUGCAAUUUAAAAGAGAGAUCAAACUGUCUAUUUUCUUACAGUUCCCAGACAAAUGUUUUAUUCACUAAUUUAAUUCAAUUUUUUUUAGUUUACUGUAUUUUAAAAUACAAUUGACUUAACAAACAAGAAUAUUUACAUAUAUAUAAUUUUAAAAAUUUUAUAUUAUUUAUUUAUUAUUAGUUCUCGUAAAAUAGUAUUUCCUCUGUAUCACUUUAAGUGGUUUUUAAGGUUUCUGCACAUAGAUUAAGAAAACACAAAAUUCUAUAUAAUUUAUCUUGAUUACAUAAAAAUAUUAUUAAAUGAAACUAAUUCAACCAAUAAGAAAAAAUUUCAGUAUUUUGUAAUUGGUCAUAAAUUUCAAAUGAUAUUAAAUUUUACCUAGAAUAAAGAAAACAUCAAAAUUUUGAAACAAAAUUUUUUUCUCUAAACACCAUUAAAGUGAUACGGAGGGAGUAUAAACUUUUGUUAUGUUAUAUUUUUUACAAAAAUAAAAAAUAUAAAAAUCAUUUAAAGAUUAAAAAUUAUCUUUUGCAUUAACGAAGUGCAGAGAAUGCAUUUGGGAAAUUGCAAUAGAGCUCUCAUUUUAUGGGAUCUCACUGUUAAAACUAUUAUUUAUUAUAUAUAUAUAUUAAUGUAAUUACAUAUAUAAAUAAUAAAUGUAAAAUAAAAAUUUAAAAGAAAGAUAAGAACAUUUAUUUCAUAAAAAUAUAUAAAAUAGAUUUUGUGUUAUUAAUUUAGAUAUGAAUAAAUGUAAUAAUAAAAUUUUAAUAAAAAUACAUUAUUUUUGUUAUGUCAAUAAAACUCACAAUUUUGAUUUUUUAUUUCAAAUAAACAAUCAAAUUAAUUUUCUAAAAGAACUAAUACUAUUCCAAGAUCUACUGAAAAUUCAUUGCAAUCUGAGCUGCUUGUUAAAGAUCUAUUUAUUUCAAGAACAACCUCUUAGGACAUUAAUAAACUGUGGAAUUUGAUCCAUGAAGAAGAUGUUGGGAGGAUAUUAUCCAUUCCGCUAAGUAUGACGGGGAGUCCAAACUUUAUAUGCAGUGGACUUAUAGCAAAUCAAAAACAUAUACAGCUAAAUCCAUAUAUAACUUGAAAAGAAAGCUGGACAACAUAUCACCACACAAGCAAAUCAGGUUAUCCCUCUUCUCAUCUAAAUGACCUGAAAUAAAUAAUCCACCUCAACUAAAGAUAUUCUGGUGGAAAGUCUUUUAAGAAGAAUUUUUAAUAAAUGGGGACUGUCAAAUAUGUGGAGAAGCAAUAGAAAGGCUAACACAUAUGCUGGUGGAUUGUUGAAUUGUUAGGGAAAUAUGGUCUCUUCUCACUAGUGAAUAAUUGGCAACCAGAUAGUAAUCAUGAUAUGCUGCAUUUCAUUCAGAGCAUAGUUAAGAAAGUGAAUGAUACUCAUAACAAUCUUGCUAUGUUUCUUGGUUGGAGGAUUUGGUAAAUAAGGAACAAUUUGUUGUUGUUCGAAAACAAAAGGAAUCACAUUGUACAGGUAAUAAAUGCAUCACUCCUAAAUCAACAAAUCUGGGCAGAAGCUUUUCACCAUAAUGCUUAUAUGAGCCACCCCACUCCAAUUCCUCGACCAAACACUAUUUCUUAACUUCUUUCAUAAGAAGCAGCAUUUUACUGCAUUGUAGAUGUCUCUGGAAGUCGUUGCCGACUAACAAAAUUGGAAUAAGAUGAUUCUUAUACAGUAAAAAAGUACUUUCACUCCGAAGAAAAUCUGCAAUCAAUUCAACCAACCUGUAUUAUUAAAACUAAAGUACUUUUUGGUAUUGUUUGAAAACAUAGAUAUCAAUAUGAAUAAAAAUAAUUAGAAACAUGGAUAACUUUAUGAAAAAAAAUAUAGUGUCUUUUUAUAAUUACAUUAAUAUAAUUAUAUUAAUUAUUUUUCACAUUUCACUCAGUUUAACAAUUUCAUUAAUUAUAUUACCUUAACAAUAAAUCACAUCAUUAAUUAUAUUACCAUGAUAAUACUUGUACAGAUUUUUAUUUAGUAGUUAAUCAACGUUAAUUUUGUGCCAAUUAAAAAAUAAAAAAUGUAAAUAACUGGGUUUUGCAUAUGGUUAAACGUUCGGUUUAGUUGUUUUACUAUUUUUUUUAAUUUUAGUUUCAAUCGGUUGAAAAUUACGUAGCCAAAAACAUAAUUAAAAAACAUAUUUUUGUGAAUAAAAUAAUAACUUAAAUCAAAAUAAUCAAAAUAUAUUACAUUUAUUCCCACUUAAUUUUUCACUCCAUAUAAUUAUUUUACUAAAUAAAAAACUCUUUCUAUUUAUAUGAAACAUGUUCGAAUGUCUGGAUGAGUUCGGUUCUAGUGUAUAUGAACCUAAAAAUAUUUAAUAAUAAAUGUAUAUGAAACAUGUUCGAAUAUUUGUACAAAAAAUAACGAUAUUAUCCGAUUCGGUCCAUGUCUUUUGAAUACAAUUAGUUAUAUUACAAGCGUCUAAAAUAUAUAACACUAAUUAUGAAAAACAAAAAUCAAUAUAUAAAAAUGUAAAAAAUCAAUACCCACCCAGGUUAGUUAACUAUUAAAAGCAUAAGCAAUGGCCAUGCUAUUAGCCGUUCAACAAAUGAACACACUCUGUUACAAGAAUGUGGUCUUUCUAGGAGUGCAGAACUCAACAAGAGCCUGAAUCUCCAUCUAAGCAGAAGGAAGUAAACGCCUAACGUAAAUGGAGCAAUAGCCAUUCUCUAAGAUAUUUUGAAUCCAUCUAAUACUAGCUGUUGAUCCUAGCAGUUGUUCUUUUGAAUACAAUUAGUUAUAUUACAAGCAUCUAAAAUAUAUAAUACUAAUUAUGAAAAACAAAAAUCAAUAUAUAAAAAUGUAAAAAAUCAAUACCCGCCCAGGUUAGUUAACUAUUAUAAAAGCAUAAGCAAUGGCCAUGCUAUUAGCCGUUCAACAAAUGAACACACUCUGUUACAAGAAUGUGGUCUUUCUAGGAGUGCAGAACUCAACAAGAGCCUGAAUUUCCAUCUAAGCAGAAGGAAGUAAACGCCUAACGUAAAUCGAGCAAUAGCCAUUCUCCAAGAUAUUUUGAAUCCAUCUAAUACUAGCAGUUGCUCCUAUAAGGUUAUAGAUAAGAUAUACCUAGAGCAUUUGUUUAUCAUGUUGAUCAGCUAACGAAGAAAGUUAAGAUUAAUGAUUAAAACUACGUAAUCACCUGUCACAUUUAGCUGGCCUUUUAUGUAUUCUAAUAUUUUUAAAAAUGAAAUUGUUAACAGAAAAAAUAUUUUAAAUUCUCAAUAAAAUGAAAUUAUUUUUCUGACCCGCUCUGGCCUCUAAAAAUAUUUGAGCCGGUACUAUGUUGAAAGUUCUUUUCGGUCAGCUUGCGUCUGCAUAGUACAUAUGAUGGAAGGAUUUUUUGGUGGUACAUGCUCUCGGAGGUGUAGAAGCUUGCGGAAGAGUUGAUGAAAUUUGAGUCAUCACUGGCGGAUUCAGUGACGGUAAUGAGGUGAUGACGUAGCAGAACCAAUUCCGGGUGACAUUUCGAAGGGAGACACGUAUUGGAGAUAUAAAUUCUUAAAGCUACAAGUGUUAGUAAUUUUUUUUUUCUGUGUGCAACUACAAGUGGUAGCAAAUUAAUGUAACUUUCUUUCACGGCGUUGAUUGUUGGGCCUAUUAUGUACCACACGAUCUCAUCCUUAUGGGCUCUAUGAAAAGUUGACCCACGAAAAUAAGGAAGGAGCCUAAAGCAUCGGCUCAAGUGGAGACCGGACCAGUAACCAUACGUUUUCAUAAUACGAUAAGAUAAGAUAACCUUUCUGUCACGUGGCAUUUUCAUUGUGGUCAAGUAUCGAUAAGGGUAUCAACACCGUUCAUAAUCCUGUGGCUGUUAACGACGAUAUCAUGAAAUAUCCAUAAGGGUUCUCACUCUAUAUAGAUGACCAAAGCAAUAGACUAACAGUAAGAGUUAAGAGAAGGAAGAAGAAGUAGUCAUGGCUUACUCUAUGCUCUCCUCCGCCGCUGUUGUUACCUCCCCGGCUCAAGCCACCAUGGUCGCUCCAUUCACCGGCUUGAAGUCUUCCUCUGCAUUCCCAGUCACCCGCAAGGCCAACAACGACAUUACCUCCAUCGUUAGCAACGGAGGAAGAGUUAGCUGCAUGCAGGUAAAUGUCACUAGAGAGUUUACAGUUAGGCUUGUCUUUUAUUACACGCAACUGGUAGAUUCGAACAGAAUCCUAUUCAAAAGUACAUUUAGAAACCUAGGAUCGUUAAAAGGUCUAAACAGUAUGUACAAAAGUGAACUAAUAUUUCAUUAACUGGAAAUACGAUUCGUAGGUGUGGCCACCAAUUGGAAAGAAGAAGUUUGAGACCCUCUCUUACCUUCCUGACCUUACCGAAGUUGAAUUGGGUAAGGAAGUUGACUACCUUCUCCGCAACAAGUGGAUUCCUUGUGUUGAAUUCGAGUUGGAGGUAAUGAAGACAAAAUAUUUUUUGGAUCUAAACAUCUUUUAUCACAUGAUCUCAAUCCUGAUUUUAAAUGGAAUUCUCAUGUGUUUGUAGCACGGAUUUGUGUACCGUGAGCACGGAAGCACCCCCGGAUACUACGAUGGCCGUUACUGGACAAUGUGGAAGCUUCCCUUGUUCGGAUGCACUGACUCUGCUCAAGUGUUGAAGGAAGUUCAAGAAUGCAAAACUGAGUACCCUAAUGCCUUCAUCAGGAUCAUUGGAUUCGACAACAACCGUCAAGUCCAGUGCAUCAGUUUCAUCGCUUACAAGCCACCAAGCUUCACCGGUGCUUAAUUCGCUUUCAUAUAAUAAUAUCUUCUCAUUUCAUUUCCAAUAAGUCUGUUUCUUUUUUUUCUCUUUGGAUUUCUGUUUACGAGACUUUCUAUAUCGGAUUGUAAAAUGUCUGAUUUUAUGAACAUGUAAUUUCUAUAUUGCUUCUUCUUCGUGGUUACUACUUUCAGAUGGCUAUUAGGUUUUCAAUUUAUUGGGAUAAGAAAACAGUCAGAAUAAUAACUUUACAAAACUGGUUAGAUAAGAUAAUGGUAAUAUUUUUGGAAUAGGAAAACAUUACUACCUAGGAAAAAAAAAAUUCAUAUGGAGUUAAUUAGUUCAUUAGAGAUUCCAAUAACAAAUCAUUGCAUCAUUUUAUCGUCACGUUCCAUAGAUUUCAAGCAUAUAGUAUAUACAUGACAUCGGUGCAUUAUCAUUGGAAAUAAGAUACAUAUAGAUAUGGAUCUCUAUUCUUAUAUUUGUUAUAAUUGUUUUUUUUUUGGUAAAAUGUUAAGCUUACCAUUUUCUGAAAGAAGGAUACACUGUUGUUGUUAAACAACUUAUUACAAGAGAAAAACAGAGAAGCAGAAAAGAAAGACAAAGGAAACAGACUACACAACAACAAUCAAAAUAAGAGAAAACGACACUAAGGUGGAAAGAGACGUCUGAUGGAAAGGUAGAGCAGGAGGAGCGUGUCGUGGCCAUCAGCUGGAGGGGCUAAGGACAAGAGACGAUCCCUCAUAGAACGAUCAACAUACUUGGCGAUCGCCGCUGCGGUAGAGGAAACAUUCUUAAAGAUACGGACGUUCCUCUCUCUCCACAGGCUGUAGACUCCCUGAGCCUGGAGGAUCUUAAUGACAAAGUCCCAGCAGAUUGUAUCAAAAGCUUUGCGGAUGUCUAUUUUUAGCAUGCUGCUCCUGCUGCAAUUUUGGUUCUCAUACUUGCGGAUCAGCUCAGCUGCAAGAAGGACGUUUUCACCCAAGCUGCGCCCUUUAAGAAAAGCCGACUGAGCACGACUUAUCGAACUCUUGAGAAUCGGCUUGAGCCUGUUGGCGAUUAUCUUGGUGAUGAUCUUAUACACAAUGUUGCAGCAGCUUAUCGGCCGGUAGUCCCGAAGGCUACAAGCAGUAGUGGUCUUAGGAAUGAGAACAAUAGCUGUGGUGUUUAGGUCUUUCAGCAAUCGGCCAUUACGAAAAAACUCAGAAACCGCAGCAAUCACAUCCCCUCCAACAGUAUCCCACGAUGCUUUAAGGAACUCAAAAGAAUAGCCAUCGGGACCUGGGCUUUUGUUUAGGGGCAUGGAGAAGAUAGUACCUUUGAUCUCAGUUUCCAGGACAUCUCUCUUCAGGUAAGCUUUCUGUAGGUCCGAGCAUCUGAAGGAGAGCAAAUCUUCCAAAGCAUUUAGAGGAACUGGUGAGACAGGAAGCUCUGUGUGGCCAAGGAUAUCCUGGAAAUAAGAGACUGAGUGCGCCUUUAUAUCAUCGAUGGACCCCAGGAACUGGCCAGACUCAUCUAUCAGAUAAUGGAUGUGGUUGCUAUUAUUCCUUUGUGCUACUGUUUUAUGAAAGAAAGGUGUAUUCCUGUCUCCCACAUCAGCCCAGCGAACACGCGACCUCUGCCUGAAGAACUUUUGCUCAGCAUUGAGUAAGGUGUUAAGGAUAUCACGCUGACGGUGCUCCUCAGAGGCAGUAGCUGGGUCCGGGCAGGUGAGAAGACUUUGCUGCAGGUUCGCUACCCUCACAGACUGCUGCUUUACCCUUCCUGUGAUGCCACUAAAGUGCGUUUUAUUUAAGUUCCUCAGAUCUGUCUUAAGAAGCUUCAUUCGUCGGACCAAUUUAAACUGCUCAGAUCCUUGAACUUCAGCAUUUGACCACGCGUCUGAGACAACAGAAGAGUAGUCAGGAUGGCCAGUAAGAUGGUGAUAAAAUUUGAAAGGCUUGCGGAUACGUCUACUGAUUGAGGGAACCCUGAGAAGGCAAGGCGCAUGAUCAGACUGAUCUGGCUGAAGAAAGUCUGCGUAUGAAUCCGGAAAUGAAGCGGCCCACGAGUGGUUGAUAAGAGCAUGGUCAAUUCUUUUGGAGACAGGGUUGGAGCCACUGUUAUUCCACCAAGUGAAAGGGAGGCCUUUCGCUUGACAUUCGAAGAGCUCAGAGUCCUGCAAAGCUGCAACCAUAUCAUCAAUACCUGAUGGAUCAAUAACUGAGAGAGGGUAAUCAGAGUGCUGGCUUAGACGAAAGAUUUGGUUGAAGUCUCCCAGCACCGACCAAGGAGAGUUAACAACCGGAGUGGAAUCAUGUAUGUAGACCAUCUCUUCCCAUAAGUUUUUACGCUCGAGUACAGUGUUGAACCCAUAAACAAAAGAGACCGUGAAGUUCACAUUUUCCGCCAUAAGAUAAAUCCCACAAGUAACAACCUGAGCAGAAGACUUGUAGAUGAAGACUCGAACAGACGGGUCCCAAACAACAAUUAUUCGACCCGAGAGAUGAUGAUCAUAGUUGCCGAAAAAGCUCCAUCCUAUAGGGAGAGCAUUAUUAAUCCGUUGUGAAUUUCUUUCCUGAAUAUGUGUUUCCAAAAAAGCUCCAAGGAGCGGCCUCUGGAUAUUAAUCCAGUUUCUAACCAUGGUGUGGCGUCUGGGAUCGUUAAGCCCUCUCACAUUCCAUGCAAAAAAUUUCGACAUUUAUAAUUAUAUAGAUUUUGCGACCCUGCGGCCACAGCUCUGGCGGUUAACCAGCAAAAACGGGGCUUCAUGCUCAUCUGAGCCGUCUGCCUCAGCACUAGGGACCCCCGAGGAUGGACCUGACUCAUACGAAGAAGUAAUCAAGUCGUGCGCAGGUGGGAAUUUCUGAAUAGAGAUAUCCGGUGGGACAGUCUUAUCAGAUGAUUCAGGAAUGCCAUUCUCCCUAACCGGAGUUGUUACAGUGGUGUCCUCUGUAUGCUCCUCAGGAGGUAUUUCACCAUCUUCCAAACCCUGAGAGGAUGUGACACCCUUCUUCGCAUCACCAUCUACCGAUCGCUCCUUGUUGUGAGUACCAGCUUUACCUCCUCUCCUACGACGUCCUUGCCUAGACUGUUUCCUCCCCUUAUCCUCCUCAUUCGUUGGACUAGGAGAACGUCUUCUGCCUUCCUUGUUACUACGAGGCAGGGCACGACACUUGGUGUUGAGAUGACCAUAUUUACCACAAGCAUUACACUUUAGUGGGAGCCAAGGGUAAGAAAUAGUUAUCUCAUUUUCUUUCCCAUUUGAAAACCCAGAGAUCAUCUUUGAGGGGAGCUCCCGUGUGAGAUCCACACGCACAAAUAACUUUGCAACCUGAAAGUUUUCCUUCCGCUCUGUUUCCGGAGCCAAAGACACAGGUUUGCCUACUGCUGUGGCCAGCCGACUCAAACUCUCCUUGUUGAACAGCAAGUAAGGGACUCCCCUUAGCUCUACUGGAACCACCGCACUUGUAAUCGGAGCUUCCUCCGGAGUAAAAUCAUGCGACCAUGGAGCAACAAACAUCGGGAAUCCCGCAAUGUUCCAACAAGUCCUGGAGAGGAGGUGCUCCCUUGUCUUAGCAGACGUGACUUUUAAUAGAUACUCCCCAGCGCCCACCAUGUGGACAAAGAUUCGCGGCCCUGUCUUAGCCCAUACGGCAUUAACAACACCGAUUAUACGACCCAUGGAAGGCCAGUCCCCGUGGAAUCUAGCGAAGAUGUAAUCACGAAACUCCUCCUUAGCUGAUUCUAUAUUUUCAUCCGGGAUAAGAACGAAAGGUACUCCCGAUACGUGUUCAGAGGGUGUUCCUAGCUCUUCCAAAGUCGCAAAGUCCUUGACUAAACUGGCGUAGCUCUUAGUUCCAGAGUACUCCCCUAGGGUAGCAGCCUUCUGCAGGGCUCCAUGAGGGAUGUCUCUACUAACCACUUCCUGGAUUGGAAGGGAAACCUCUAUUGUAGCGUCAGGAGUUACCUCCUCCGAUACUGUAGGGGUAACGUCAAGCUCACAUGGCGUGAGAGGUGAUGAAUUGCCAAACUCAAGAACAGGAGCUAGCGGUAGUGGUAGGUGACCCAAACUCAGAUCUACAGAGACCUCAGGGGUCGACGGCGAAACCUCAGUCGUGGGUGCCACCGAAGCAGCAAUUACAGCAUCAGCGCUUGAAGCGCCGGCGAGAGACGACUGUUGUAACGACCGGACCGAAGUGGAGGGUUUCAACGCUCCUUGGAGACGGGCCAUCUUCGAAGAGCCCCGGAGGAGAUUACGAGUUUUUUUCUUCUUUUUCGGAGGCAUAUGGAUGUUAUAAUUGUUUUGAAAAGUUAACGAAACUUUCCACUUAUCAAAGUGAUUUUCUAGAAAAAACGUAUGCAUGUAAAUCUCUCACUCACACGGAUAGUUAAUCCCUGAAGAGAGGAUGACAGUUGACACACUUGAAUUCUAUGAUAGACGCGUUUGUGGACGCACCAUACCUAAGAUAAGCAUGAUGAUAAGAUUGGAGAUUUCCUUAUAUAUUCUCUAAAAAAUUCAAAUCAUUUUCGAAAUAAGACAGUUAUGGCAGGCAGUGGAGUUAAAACAAUUCUGUUAAAUUGGUGAAUUCUGUUGAUUUACCAAUUUUAACAGAAUUUUGUCAUAUUUAAUUUAUAUAGUAAUUCUAUUUUAAGAUAAUAUAAUCUACAAUUAUAAUUUAUCAAAUAGCAUAGAUUUUUAUAUUAAAAAUUAAUUAAUAUUAAUUUAUAAUAAUAUUAUAUUACUAAUUACAGAAUUAAUUAAUGCACUAUUUUCUAAAAAAUAUUUUUGAAAUUUCAGUAGGAUUUUAUUAGAUUUUUUCUCAACAUAUUUUGUCAUAACUAAAAACAAAAUUCAAAUUUAUAGUUAAAAUUAAUUUAUUAUUUAUAUUCUUAUUUAUAAUUAAUACUUUCUAUGAAUAUUAUUUAUUUCUCUAACAAAAAUAUAUUAAUAUUUGAUUGAUUAAUGUAAAUAAUUAAUUAAAUGAUUCUAGUAUGACUUGUCAACACUAGAAUUUAAAUAUAUUGACUAAAUUUUAUAUAUACCAUUUUUGAGUUGUUCUUAUUCGAUUAUUUAGUGUAUUAAAAUAGAUAUAAUAAAUAUGAAUAGAUUUUACGUGCAAAAUGAUAAAAUAACAUCAAUAUAUUUAGAAAAAAUAAGAAAAAUUACAUAUAAACUUCUUUGGGAAUAAAAAACUAUACAAUAUCAUUUUUGUUUUUCUUAGGACCAUAUAUUUAUAUAAAGUUUCUUAAAAAAUAUUUUCUUAUUAUCUUACUGAAUUGUGUUAUAUUUUACAUUGAUGUAACUCAAAACUGGUAAAAUUUAUUAACUUAUCUAGUAUUAUGUUUCAGAAAGAUGUAUAUUUUAAUAUUUUCACACUUGUUAAGAAAACAUAUCAGAUUUAAAUUACCAAUAUAUUAAUUUCUGUAAUUAAUUAUUCCCCACAACUUGUAACCAAUAAAACUUUAGUAAACACAAUUUUGUUUUUUGAAGUUUACAAUUUACAAUUUACAAUUUACAAUUAAUUUACGCAUUGAAAAUAUAAAAAAAUGUACUAACUGAAAUAUUUUUUUAAAAAAUAUUUAUCUUUUUGAGAUGGAGGGAAUAUUAAUUUAUAGAGUUUUAAAAAUGUACUAAAGAAAUCGUCGGUUAGUUUAUAUAAUCUGCGUUUUUCUUUUAUUAGGGCUAAACCCAGCCCAAACAAAGGAGGAAUGUCUAGCAAGUAUCCAAACAUGGGUUCGGGCCUCUGGGUUAAUGUUUGCUGGAUCUGGAUUCGGAUAUCCUAUAUAUCCCUAGUGAUAAUAAUUAAUAAGAGCCGCGGCUCUGAACAAAAUAUAAAACAAGGGCGGCCUUCUGCUUUUAGUUAACAAAGAAAAAACUCCGUAGAGAGAGAGAGAGAGAGAAUAGCGGUGCUGGAUCUAAGCGAUGUCGGAUCCUUACGAGAGGGCGAAGGGUGGAAGGUUAGCGUUUAAAGGAGGCGAUCUAGCCACCAUCAAAAAGAAGAAGAAGCAAUCGAAGAAGAAGAAGAAGGACAAGGAAAAGCUCGACGACGGCGCCGAUGUUGAGAAGAUGGACGCUCCAGCCACUUCCUCUGCUGCAGAUGGCAAAGACGAUAUCUACUCUAUCGACGCCGCGAAGAAGAGGAAGUACGACGAGCUUUUCCCCGUGGAGGCAAAGAAGUUCGGUUACGUUCCCAAAUCGAACUUCGAUUCGGUGGCGGAGGCUCUCGACGAUCGAGUCAAGAAGAAGGCCGACCGCUACUGUAAAUAGAAUCUUUUGCAUCUCCCUUUGUUUAAUUCCCUACUCUAUGCAUAAUUGUUAUCAUGUUUGAAGACUUUAUCCCUAUUUUGCUUCUGUUUGAGACUGGUUUAUUUGGAAUCCAAAUUAGUGGUAUUUGGUAUUCAUCCUUUGGGACAACUAGGUUUUGUGAAAUCUCUAGGUUUAGCAAGUAAAUAUUAAAGUGCUUUACAAACAACUCAUAUAUGUUUUAGUGUUAUGGUUCAAAUUUUUUGAAUCCAAUUUGUAAAUGGUUUUGCUUUUCGUUUCUUGGUAUUUUGUUUUCUUACAAGUCCUCAAUUGCUCAAUGCAUUUGCUUCCCUCUGCUAAAGGAUAUUACAGUGAGGCCACUGCAACGGAACUGCAGGAAGAAUCAGAGAGAUAAAUUCAGUUUAGUUAAGUUUAUAUUGUCUUUCUCCUUUAAGGUGAAAGGUCAGCCUGAGUUUAUAAUUAUUUUUCACACUACAUAUGUUCUUAGCAAAUGAUAGACACUUUAUUAUUUCUUGUGUUUCCCCUCAAAUAAUCAGUUUUUUAGCUCCUGUUACCUCGAGUAUUCCUCUGUCCUGCUUCUUCUGGUUCUGGACUAACCCUCUGAUACCUUGCUCUAGAAAGCCCCAUGUUCCAGAACUGCAUCCACCUAGGGCGCCUCCUCUCGGGAACGUCUUCUCUAAUAGGAUCACCCCUUUCCUGAGAAUCCGUAACGGUGGUGUUGACCGGAGGCAGAUCACGGCGGCAAAUUGGGCAUGAAUUGUGAAGCCUUAGCCAUGGAGUUAUACAGUUUUUAUGGUAAAUAUGUUUACAUGGUAGUUCGGUAGCUUCCCCUCCAGCAACGAAGUCCUCCAUGCACACCGUGCAUUGCGACAUGUCGUUGGUUAGAUGUUUCGAUGUAAUCGUUACGGUCGGUAGCGCGUCAAUGGUGGGUUCUGAUGCAGGUGGUGGUCCAGGCCUAUCGUCUUGUGUUAGCUGUUCGAUCAGCUGUUCUAAACCUGAUCCUCCAGUAAAGAAGUCAUGUGGGUUCAUACGCCUGGGAGGUAUUGGAUCAGUGGGCCGUAGUAUUACAUAUGUUCUUCUUGGUGGAGGUAAACUGCCAUUGUUACCAUUGUCAAGGCUGUGGCGUCGUCGAUGGUGCGGUAGGGGUGUUGUUGGCUCGUGUUCCACGUUUCUGGACCUUGCCCUGAGAAAUGGGUCUUCACCGAAUCUACCUAUUGUUGGAGGAUCAAACAUGAGGGACAGAGCUUCGAGAAGGCGUGUCUCAGGAGAAGCAUCAAACGGUGGAGCGGCGUGAGUGAAAGUCACCCGAGGCCGUCUCAUCUCGAUUUCCACAACAAAUUGCCUUAAGCAUCGAGGGCACGCGAUCUCUGAUGGGUUUGAUGAUGCAAUCCUGACCGUACGAUGACAGUGGUAGCACCAGUAGAGGCCAAAAGUCCUGAAUGCGCCAUUGGGUGCACCAUCGGUCCGUCUUAUUGGCACACUCAAUGACAUGAUUCGAAGAAGUAACUGUUAUACACCAGACAUAAAUACUUGCACAUUUAUAGAUAAUCUUUGAAGGUUGAAUGAAGCAAUUAAGCCAGGCAUAUUCCGUUCAUACAGAGGUCGUGUUUUGUCUGGAAGGCAAAGAAUGAGAAGGAUGAAGACGCAAUGCUCAUUUCUUCUGGUUUUUCUUAUUCUAUUUAGAUUGCCUCAAGUUAAAGGCUAGAAUCAUUUAUUAGAUCAAGUCAAUUAAAGAGAUUGGCCGUAUUGUUUAACUAGAGUAGAUAUAGAGGAAAAGAAACAAUCAUCAAGUUUAACAUAAAAUAUUAUUCUUUAGAGCAUCUCCGAAAAAACUUUAUAGCUUCAAAUACAGAGCUUGUUUCUAUCCAAAAACAAAUUUUAAAACUUUAAAUUUAGAUUUUUGAUUAGUGAAACUUCGUAUUUUUUUAGAUGCUCCAAGUUUAGAAUUUUAAAACUCUAUAAUAUUUUAAUAAUAGUUUUGUGACAAAAAAAUGAGUAGAAGUUUCACUACUCAAAACUCUAAAUUUGAAAUUUCAUCUUUUUAUUUGCAUUUUGGUCUUUAUAAUUAACUAGGGUCGGUCCGCCCUACGGGCGGGAAGUUAUAAUAAAGCAUACCCUUCUCAGGUAUACAUUAAAAACCCGACGCAACAUCAAGCUUUACCGGUCCACUGCUUUGAAGUUAGGUGCGAAGUGUGAAGAUGGCUCGUGUCCCUGGAGGGUGUAUUGUUCUUAUGAGAAGAGCAAACAGAAGCUGAUGAUCAAAUGUUAUGUGAAUGAGCACAAGUGUGAGAUAACAGGACACUCAAAGUUUUUGAAGUGUUCUACUAUAGCAAUGCUGUUCGCUGAGAGGCUGAGGUUGAAUCCCAAAAUCACCAAGCAUGAAAUUGCUUCUGAGAUCCAGAGAGAGUAUAGGAUGUUUGUGAGUGUGGAAGCUUGUGGGAAUGCGAAGACAAAGGUUAUGAAAGAAAGAAAAGCAAGCCACGAAGAACACUUCAACAAGAUAUGGGAUUAUCAAGCUGAGAUUUUUCGAACCAACCCUGGCACUACAAUGGAUAUCGAAACCAUCCCUGGACCGACAGUAGGAAGUAAACAGAGGUUUUUCCGGCUAUAUGUUUGCUUUCAUGCGCAGAAGGAGACUUGGAAGACUUCUUGUAGACCGAUAAUGGGUUUAGAUGGAGCAUUUCUAAAGUGGGACAUAAAGGGUCAUCUCUUGGCUGCUGUAGGACGUGAUGGAGACAAUCGGAUUGUUCCGAUUGCAUGGGCAGUAGUAGAAGUGGAGAAUGACACGAAUUGGGACUGGUUUGUGAGACACCUCGCAAAUGACUUGGGCUUAAAGGAUGGCAAAGGCUAUGCUAUAUUGUCUGACAAACAAAAGGUAAACGUCUGAUCUUGAUUUUUUAAAGCUUUUAGUGCUUAAAGCAUUACUGUAUCUUAGUGUUUUUAACUGUCUCAUGCUUGUAAUUGGCAGGGUUUAGUGAAAGCAGUCCACACCAUUCUUCCAGAGGUUGAGCAUAGACAGUGUUGUAGACACAUUUUCGAUAAUUGGAAGAAGAGCAGCCAUGACAUGCAGCUACAAAGACUCUUCUGGCGAAUAGCAAGGAGUUAUACAAUUGGAGAUUAUAAAAUGUGGAGUGAGAGGCUGAAAGAGUACAAUCCAGGCGCCUAUGCUACUCUUCAAGUCACCAAACCAGAAACUUGGUCCAGAGCAUAUUUCAAAUUAGGGACCUUGUGCAACGAUAAUCUCAAUAACCUAAGUGAGUCCUUCAACAGAACCAUCCGUGAAGCAAGAAGGAAGCCAUUAUUGGAGAUGUUAGAGGAUAUAAGGAGACAGUGUAUGGUUCGAAACUUCAGAAGGGCUGUAAUGGCUAAAAAUGCUAAGACAAAGUUCACAAAAAGGACGCAUCUUCAGAUGGCUAAAGUGGAGUCAAAGUCUAAGGAUUGUAUGAGCUUUCCAGCAGUUGGUCCAGUCACAGAGGUUGAUUAUGGUGGUGUGGCUUAUGCUGUGGAUAUGGAUGAGCUAAGUUGUGGGUGUAUCCAGUGGCAAAUGACUGGAAUUCCUUGCAUUCAUGCCGCCUAUGUGAUCCUUAAAGAUGGUAAAAAACUUUCUGACUUUGUAUCUCCUUGUUAUACCAUAGCUAUGUGGCGUCAAACCUAUAGUAUGGGGGUAAGGCCUGUUCAAGGGAAGAAGCUAUGGCCUGAGACUGGUAGAUUAGGUGUCCUCCCACCACCUUGGAGAAAAGGAAACCCGGGAAGACCAAAGAACCAUGAUAGGUUCAAGAGCAAGGGUGAGACAGAGAAGGGCCCGAAAGUCUCUACAACUGAUAGCACGAAACUAACUCGUGCUGAUCGAGUUAUUACAUGUUCUAAUUGCAAGCAAGAGCAUCAUAACAAGAAGACAUGUAAGAAUGACUUUGUUGAAAGUCAGCCCAAGAAACCACGAGGUCGCCCUAGGAAAAAUCAGGCAAGUUUCAAGAUGUUUUUGGUUUGUUUCUGAUCUUCUUAUGCUCACUUGAUUUUUUUUUUCAUUGUCAGUCUAAUGCAUCAUCGUCACAACCAAGCCAGGGACAGUCUCAUGCUUCAUCAUCACAACCAACCCAGCCACAAGUGUCAACACAGCCACAAGCCACACAUGCACCACUAAACUCAGAUGCGUCGGUAUGGGGUCGAUGGUUUUCGUGAUUUCGAAGUUAGAAGGGGCAGAAGCAGAAGAUAGUAUUUUCGGAUUUAGUGUUUUGAAGUUUUAGUGUUUUGACACUCAUGUUUCAGUUUUAGUGCUUUAACACUCAGGUUUCAGGUUUCUGUCUUGUGUAUCAGUAUUUUCGGAUCUAUUUUGUAGUGCUUUGACACUUAACUUAUGCUAUGUUUCAUCAAGCUUUAUUUAAGAUUGGUUUGUAUCUCAACCAACAACAACAACUUAGUUCAUUACUUCAAACAACAACAUAGUCAAUGAAACCAACAUAAUAGUCACUGAAUUAAGCCCCAAACAUAGUCAAGACCAAACAUUAAAAUUGUCACUUAAUCAAGUAAAUACAACAAGACACAAACACCAACAAUUUAGUUCUUCACCUCAAGCAAAUAACUAACUUAAUUCUACAUCAAACUAACUAGUAGGACAAUGAUGAUCACGCACAUGAUCACAAACAAGAUCGUCAUCAUCACCUUACACCUCUUCACCUCUGUUUUGGCUCUUACAACUUCUUCCAUCAACUCAGUGACCACGCCUUUCAAAUCUUCAAUAUCAGAUUUUUCUUUGUUAAGCUCAGCUUCAAGCAGUACAAUCUUUGGUAAGGCAUCUUGAACCUCUUCAUAAACAGCCUCCUCAACCCAUUUAAACAAGUGGUUCUAUGCAAAAACCAUAAGAUUUUAGGCAUAUUCCUUUAUAUUCAAUUUGAAUAAACGACAACAAUAUAAUCAAGAAGAUAAGAAGCUACCUUUCUUCUCGUAAGACAUCUGAAGAAAGGUCUCCCCGGAUUCUUGUUAGUCUCAGACGUGUAGAUUGUUGUCUUAGUCCCGCAAACACAGCUCGCCGGAAACCCGCGAAUACCGUAUGUGUUCACGGUUGAACUCUCAGCUGUCGAAUCCGAACUCAUCUUCGUGCUAAGGGAAGUCAAUCGUGUGAGAUUGGAGGAUUUUGAGUUGUAAUCGCAAUUUUUAGGGUUGGUGUGUCAAGAAAAUCCCCAAAUUGAUUUGGGGGAAAAUGAUAUUAGGGUUUCGGAUCUUAUUUUGAAGUUUAAGAUAAAAUGUUGUCGUAUUGACUAACUGUGCAAAUUAACAGGGUUAACAUGUUCCGUUAGUCUAAUUAACGUCGGGUCUAAUUUGAUCCAUUCAAAGAAAAGUUAGCUGGGUUUUUAAAGUCAAAAGAAAAAUUUAUUGUUUUUCAGGUCUUUCCAAAAGCUGGGGAUUAUAAUGGUCCAAAUGAAUCUUCCUAAACCUUUGUGAUCAGGUUCCGAUGUUUUGAAGAGCUGAUACUGCUCUCUCCAAGACUGGGAAAAGUUGUGAUCCAGGAAGCACAUUCGCUCGCUCCUGAAAGCUUGUGGGUUCUCCUGAUACCUCUGCCUUAGCACAUUAAUCCAAGCAUCUAUAUGCUGCAUAUUAAAUAUAACAAGUUAGAAGUUACAAGACGACUUAUCUUUAAGUAGACGACUUAAAUCGUGUGCAGAAGACUGACGCAGUCUUCCAGCCAUCCUCUGGCUGUCCGGAGGAAGUGGUACCACCUUGUUGGUGAUGUACGUGGUUUGUCCUUGGUGUUAGUUAAAUAAUGACUGCAAACAAAAAAGCAAUCAGUUUUGGACGACUAAAUCAAGCUAUUAUGGGUAAAGCAAUCACUUACGGAUCAGUUUUCAACCAAUCAGCGAGUUCCUUCAACUUAUCUCUGUUUACUGGCGGAAAUGGAUUAUAGGCUGCCACUUUAUCUUUUUUUUUCUCUGCCGUAUAAGGAGAUCUCACAGUGGGAGCAGGUUUCUUCGCUCGUUUACUCUUUGCACGCUUGUCCAAUACAACCAGGCUCGGUUCUGAAACUGGAUCGCUUGGCUCGGUGGAAGCGAGGCUCGGUUGUUGAUCGGUGGAAGCGAGGCUCGGUUGGUGAUCGGUGGAAGUGACAGCAACAAUCUCUUUGGAGGUGACACCAUCUGCUUUAUCCUCCGGCAAGAUCUUAUUUACCGAGUUCGCCUCGGUUGCUGUAUCCUCCGGCAACCAUCUCUGCAAUAAAAGUUGCACACAAGUUAACCCUGGACGACUUAAAUAAAAGUUGUCUGGACGACUAGUUGACCCUGGACGACUUAAAUAAAAAUCGUCUGGACGACUAGUUGACCCUGGACGACUUAAAAUUAAGUCUUCCGUGGUCAACUAGUCGUCCAGACAACUUACGUUUAAGUCGUCCAGGGUCAACUAGUCGUCCAGACAACUUUUACAGUCGUCUGGACAACUAGUUAACCCUGGAUUUGAUACUAACCUCUUUGAUUUGAGGAGGCUGUUUCUUUUGAGGAGGAGGCUGUUUCUUUUGAGGAGGAGGAGGAGGCUGUUUCUUUUGAGGAGGAGGAGGCUGCUGUUUGGUUUGAUGAGGAGGAGGCUGGUUACUAACCACGGUUUCAUUGGCAUGAGGGGUAGCCUGUUUGUUUCUACCCCCGGUUUCUUUGGCAAGAGGGGUAGGCUGUUUAUCUUGAGGGGUAGCCUGAUUGGUUAGAGGUGGAGGGGUAGCCUGAUUGGUGACACCAACCUUCUUCUCCACAGCUUCCAAUCUAUCGGACAACUUCCUAAACUCCCUCAUGCACUUAUUAAACCCUUUUUUCAUGCAGUCAGCUACGCCCUUGAACAUAAUUUCCAACUCCUCUCUGGUCACCCCUCUAGCCUCUUCUCUAGCCUCUUCACUAGCCUCUUCAGGAGCCUCUUUACGAGCUUUCUUCCGAGGUCUUGGAUUGUCUUCCUCCUCCUCCUCCUCCUCCUCCAACACAACCAUCUCUUUGGCCUUCUUCGAUGGAGUCACAACCUUAGGUUUUGUAUUGACCUUAGUACCAGUGACUUCCCAGCAAUCCAUGGUCCACUUCCACGGUCUCCGCUCAUACAUGACUUUAAUGAUGUUCUCCGCGGGCAGGUCCUCAACCUCAGAGUCCCAUUUUGGCCACAUUUCACUAAUGUCCUUCUCAACAAAGUUGAUCACGCGGGUCUGCAGUAAAUAGAAGAAUCGAGUUAGAUAUUUGAAAAAAAAUACUAAAUAGACGACUUAAUUAUAAGUCGUCUACUAAGUCGUCCAGCUGGAAGACCUUCCAGACGACUUAUAAUAAGUCGUCUAAUAAGUCGUCCAGAUGGAAGACUUUCCAGACGACUUAAUUAAGUCGUCCGAUAAGUCGUCCAGCUGGGAAGACUUUCCAGACGCCUUAUUAUAAGUCGUCUAAUAAGUCGUCCAGAUGGAAGACCUUCCAGACGACUUAUAAUAAGUCGUCUAAUAAGUCGUCCAGAUGGAAGACUUUCCAGACGACUUAAUUAAGUCGUCCGAUAAGUCGUCCAGCUGGGAAGACUUUCCAGACGCCUUAUUAUAAGUCGUCUAAUAAGUCGUCCAGAUGGAAGACUUUCCAGACGACUUAAUUAAGUCGUCCGAUAAGUCGUCCAGCUGGGAAGACUUUCCAGACGCCUUAUUAUAAGUCGUCUAAUAAGUCGUCCAGAUGGAAGACUUUCCAGACGACUUAAUUAAGUCGUCCGAUAAGUCGUCCAGCUGGGAAGACUUUCCAGACGCCUUAUUAUAAGUCGUCUAAUAAGUCGUCCAGAUGGAAGACUUUCCAGACGACUUAUAAUAAGUCGUCUAAUAAGUCGUCCAGAUGGAAGACUUUCCAGACGACUUAAUUAAGUCGUCCGAUAAGUCGUCCAGCUGGGAAGACUUUCCAGACGCCUUAUUAUAAGUCGUCUAAUAAGUCGUCCAGAUGGAAGACCUUCCAGACGACUUAUAAUAAGUCGUCUAAUAAGUCGUCCAGAUGGAAGACUUUCCAGACGACUUAAUUAAGUCGUCCGAUAAGUCGUCCAGCUGGGAAGACUUUCCAGACGCCUUAUUAUAAGUCGUCUAAUAAGUCGUCCAGAUGGAAGACCUUCCAGACGACUUAUAAUAAGUCGUCUAAUAAGUCGUCCAGAUGGAAGACUUUCCAGACGACUUAAUUAAGUCGUCCGAUAAGUCGUCCAGCUGGGAAGACUUUCCAGACGCCUUAUUAUAAGUCGUCUAAUAAGUCGUCCAGAUGGAAGACCUUCCAGACGACUUAUAAUAAGUCGUCUAAUAAGUCGUCCAGAUGGAAGACUUUCCAGACGACUUAAUUAAGUCGUCCGAUAAGUCGUCCAGCUGGGAAGACUUUCCAGACGCCUUAUUAUAAGUCGUCUAAUAAGUCGUCCAGAUGGAAGACCUUCCAGACGACUUAUAAUAAGUCGUCUAAUAAGUCGUCCAGAUGGAAGACUUUCCAGACGACUUAAUUAAGUCGUCCGAUAAGUCGUCCAGCUGGGAAGACUUUCCAGACGCCUUAUUAUAAGUCGUCUAAUAAGUCGUCCAGAUGGAAGACCUUCCAGACGACUUAUAAUAAGUCGUCUAAUAAGUCGUCCAGAUGGAAGACUUUCCAGACGACUUAAUUAAGUCGUCCGAUAAGUCGUCCAGCUGGGAAGACUUUCCAGACGCCUUAUUAUAAGUCGUCUAAUAAGUCGUCCAGAUGGAAGACUUUCCAGACGACUUAAUUAAGUCGUCCGAUAAGUCGUCCAGCUGGGAAGACUUUCCAGACGACUUAUUAUAAGUCGUCCGAUAAGUCGUCAAGCUGGACGACCUUCCAGACGACUUAUAAUAAGUCGUCUGCGCAGUCUUUUGGAUUGAAGUAAAUACCUGACUCAAGAUAGCAGCUUUCAUUGAUCUGCGGCCUCUGCUGCCCUCGUAAGCCAGUAUCGGUGGAGACGGACUGUCUGCUCUGGGACCACCAAUACUAGCACCCAAUUCCGGCAUAGCUGUGUACGUCCAGACCUGAAGAACUUGUAUAAACCCAUCCACGGUGUAACAGCCAGCAAUUUCUUUGUUCCACAAAGAGUCCAUCAGCACCUUAAACGCGACUCUCCCCCAUGGAUAAUUCUCAAACCGUUCUAAAUCCAUCACUAGCCUUGCCAGAGUAGAUCGUGUAGCGGUUGAAAACUUUCUCCCUUCAAUGAAUCCAGUGAAGAUGGAGAGGUACGCGAGCCGCUUGCGAUCUUCCCUGGACCAAUCCCCGCAUCUCUUCAGUGCUGCUAUUAUCUGAUCAGUAGUUGGCCCAGCUUCCAGAUGAACUCCCAGCAUCCCCCAGAAAGAAACCAUCUCUGGGGUAACGUCACAUUUUGGUGUCUCAAGGUCCUCGAUGUACUCGCAGUUUAGACCAGUGAGGUUUUCAAACUCUAACAGUGAAAACCUCAAAGGUUCUGGACCAACGAGAGACCACAUCUCAUACUUCUUCUUAAUGUCCAGCUUGAAACUGAGCAUGUAGUGAACCAGCCUUGAAGCCCAACCAAAUCCCUGCUCCUUGAACUUGAUGAAAACUCCCAAACUCGACUCCUUGAGCUCUUCAAAUUCGUCAUCAGUAAGAGCUUUCCUAAGAGCAGUAUGCAACUUGCUGUUAUCCGUAUGAUACGAAAUGCUAUUGUGGGCUUCUGGCUCUUCCCCUGAUGUGUAUAACCUACGGGGGAGUUCUGGAAUAUCCAUCCUUUUUGUCUGCAAAAUAAUCAAAGACAACAAUAUAAGUCCAGACGACUUAGUAGACGACUUAUAAUUAAGUCGUCUGGAAAGUCUUCCAAAUGGACGACUUAUAUUUAAGUCAUCUACUAAGUCGUCCAGUUGGAAGACUUUCCAGACGACUUAAAUUACUUACAAGUCUUCCAGUCGCAGAAGGAGUUGGAGUACUCGUCAUUGCGGUUAUAGAUCUGAAAAAAUAAACGUGAAACGGUGAGAAUGAGUAAAUUGAUAGAGACAACGUUUUAUGUUCAUCUUUUCCUCGAGAUUGAUGACUUAGCGGCGUUAGGGUUUACAGAGAAACGGCGCUAAGGUUUACAGAGAAGAAGCGGCGGCGCUAGGGUUUAGAAGAAGCGGCGGCGCUAGUGUUUAGAGGAAGCGGCGGUGAGAACGUUGGUGACCACGGUGGCGAGGGCGACGGUUUGUUCGGAAAUAGUGGAAGCGGCGGCGCUAGGGUUUAGAGGAAUCGGCGGCGCUAGGGUUUAGAGGAAUCGGCGGCGCUAGGGUUAGAAGAAGCUGCGGCGACAACGGUGAGAAUGAAGUGAGAUAGAUAGCCGACGUUGAGAACGAUGGUUUGUUCGGAAAUCGUGGGAAUUCGAAAUCGCCUUUGAGAGAGAACUGUUAGGGUUUCUGAAUUUCGCGAAAAAUGAAACAAAAAAAAUAAAAAUCACCUUAUAUAUUGGGUAAAUAAUCCGGUUAGCUUUAAAAGUACAUUGGUAAACUUUAAGGUUUGGUCCGGUUUAGACGACUUAUUCUGGCUGAUAAUGUACAACAGACGACUUAAUAUUUAGUCGUCUGUUUUCAGACGACAAAAUAUUAAGUCGUCCUAGACCCUAAAAUGAACCCCUAAACUAAAAUGACUAGAUUAACUAACUAACCACGUUAUAAAAUCAAAUUAUACUUAAAUAGUGUUUACUAUACACAGAAAUGAACACGCAUAAGUAAUUUUAAAAAUUUUCAAAAACGGUUUUAAUGCUUUCCAAAAUCUAACCCUAAGAACACAUACAAUACUACAACAUAUGUUGAUGAAACAUAAACUAAAGAAUAUCAUGACUCACUACUUUCACUCAUCUAUGCUGAAAACAAUUGAAAUUUGUUAUAUCUUAAUUUAUACCUCCUAAGACAUAUGUUAAUUACAUAAUUCCCAUUUUUCACUUAUCAAAAUAUUUUUUACAAAAUUUUUAAAUUAUGUUUAAGACUAACUGUCCAGACGACUUUCAGUUAAGUCGUCUGGACGACUUAUUUUCAAGUCGUCUAAACAGACGACUUGCGAGGGGUAGAAACGUAAAAAAAAUUCCGUUUUCUUGUUUGGUCACAAGGGGAUAGUUGUAAUUUCAAUAGCCUUUUAGGUUACUUUUGCCUUUGACCCAAGUUGGGGUAUUGUUUUGGGUUUGACUCCAAGUUUUGCGUCACACUUGGCAAUUCUCCCUAAUAAAUAUCAUUAUAUUUUUAAUAUUUAUUUUAGUUUCAAAUGUUUAGUUUUGUAAUAUUCUUCAUUAAACUAACUGAUUAAAGGUUUUUUUUUGCAAAUAUGAUUCAAAUCUUCAAAUCAUUCCUCAAGUAAUUCAUGCUUUUUUAGAAUUUUCUUUGUGCUUUACAGGUGAUGUAACUGUAUAUUUCUUUGUGUGUGUGUUUUGUAAACUUUUGAUAAGAGAAGUAUAUAAUAAUGUUUAUAGUUUUUGAGAAUGUUAGGGUGUUAAGGAUUAUGUAUGUUAAGAUUAGUUAUAUUUGAGUUCGAUAGAUUACAACAUAUAACAUAUUAUAUUGAGUGAAUGAGGUGUACGUGGUGCUCUCCUUGUAUGGUUUUUGAUAAUUUUGAAUCCAAAAUUGGUUGGUUAAUUAUGGUUUACUAUAUUAAAUUUUUUUAAGAUAAGUUCGUGGUUCUCAUGAUUAUCAUUUGUAUGAAUGGAUUGGGAUCAACAUGAUUGCAUUGCGUUACAGUAUAUGUUAGGCUAGAAAUAAUAUUUAAGAAAUGAGUAAAAUAGUGAAAGUAUAAGUCUAAUUAUUUAUAUUCUAAAUUAACACUUAAAUAUAUAAAUAUAAAAUUCUGUUUCAAACAUUUUAAUUCGUUUAAGGUCGUUGCAUAGGUGUAAAGAAUAUAUAUCUUUGAUGCAUAUGUAAUUUACGUCUUUAUAUCUUUGAUGCAUAUGUAAUUUACAUCUUUGUUUACUAUUACGUAAUUAGUUUAGUUUUAUUUUUUAUUUUUCUAUUAGUUUCUUAAUUUUUAAUUGAAUAUUUUGUAGUUCUUUGUAAAUGAAUAAAAUUAUUUUAGUUUGUUUGUGCUGAGUUCAAGUGAUUUAAUUUAGAAAAAAAAAUCUUUAUAUUUUUUUUAUUUUUCGAUUAGUUUCUUAAUUUUAUAGUUUUAGUUGAAUAUUUUGUAGUUCUUUGUAAAUGAAUAAAAUUAUUCUAGUUUGUUUGUGCUAAGUUUAAGUGAUUUAAUUUAGUAACUUUUUUUCUUUAUAUAUAGAUAUAUAUAAAAGGAUGACAAAAAAAAACAUAGAUAUAUAUAAAAAUUACUUCAUUAUACAUUGUAUUAUAUUUAAAAUAUGUUUUUUGAAGAGUGUCAAUAUUUAUAAUAUUUUGUUUAAUUUAUUUAUAUAGAUGAAAAAAAAAUUUCUAUUGUAGCAUGAAAUUUAUGAUAUUGUAAAAUGGAAAAAAUGUUAAAUAAAUCCUCAGCUUUUUCAUUUGGACCAUUAUAAUCCACAGAUUUCUAACUGACCAUUGACCAUAAAAACCUCAAACUUUUUGUCGAUUGGAUCAAUUUAAACCCGGCGUUAAGUUCACUAACAAAGCGUCUAAACGCAGUUAAUUUUCGUCGUUAAACAAAACGACGUCGUCUUCUCUUCAAUUAAAAAAACACAUCUUCCUCAUUAUCUCUCAAAAUCGAUUUGGGGGUUUUCUCAAUUAAGAACCCUAAUUUCACGAUUUCGCCAGAAAGAAGAAGAGAGAAGAUGGGUAAUGAAAAGAACAAGAAGUCUCGACAAGGGAAACUCGGUGGUGCCAGUUCUGUAGUGAAAAGAAAAGGUGGAGUCGGCGACGAAGCUGAUGUACGUAAGAAGAAAAAAAGCAAAACAGAUGUACUCGACAGGGAAGAAGAAGGAGAAAUCAGCGAGGAUGACUGUGGUGUUGUCGGUGACGACGAAGCUGAUGAAGCCCCAGACAACGAAGAAGUCCCAAACAACGAAGAAGUCCCUGAUGAAGCAAACGGUCAUGGUGGUAUCGAGGAAGAAACUGGUCGCGAUUUGACUGUCUUCUUCGGCGAAGUAGCGAGGAAUGAUGAUUCUGAGAAUGAUGAAGAUAGUGGGGACGAAUGGUAUUGGGAGCAUGAAAAAGAAGUUCCGGAUCCUCUAUCAUCAGAUGAUGAAAAUGAAGAACAAUCGAUUCCCAGUUUAGCCUACAGAGAAGAUGUGGAUCCAGAGGCAAUGCUUGGGCUGGGAAACACUUUCUCCACUGCUGAAGAAUUCAAGCAUACCCUUCUCAGGUAUACAUUAAAAACCCGACGCAACAUCAAGCUUUACCGGUCCACUGCUUUGAAGUUAGGUGCGAAGUGUGAAGAUGGCUCGUGUCCCUGGAGGGUGUAUUGUUCUUAUGAGAAGAGCAAACAGAAGCUGAUGAUCAAAUGUUAUGUGAAUGAGCACAAGUGUGAGAUAACAGGACACUCAAAGUUUUUGAAGUGUUCUACUAUAGCAAUGCUGUUCGCUGAGAGGCUGAGGUUGAAUCCCAAAAUCACCAAGCAUGAAAUUGCUUCUGAGAUCCAGAGAGAGUAUAGGAUGUUUGUGAGUGUGGAAGCUUGUGGGAAUGCGAAGACAAAGGUUAUGAAAGAAAGAAAAGCAAGCCACGAAGAACACUUCAACAAGAUAUGGGAUUAUCAAGCUGAGAUUUUUCGAACCAACCCUGGCACUACAAUGGAUAUCGAAACCAUCCCUGGACCGACAGUAGAAAGUAAACAGAGGUUUUUCCGGCUAUAUGUUUGCUUUCAUGCGCAGAAGGAGACUUGGAAGACUUCUUGUAGACCGAUAAUGGGUUUAGAUGGAGCAUUUCUAAAGUGGGACAUAAAGGGUCAUCUCUUGGCUGCUGUAGGACGUGAUGGAGACAAUCGGAUUGUUCCGAUUGCAUGGGCAGUAGUAGAAGUGGAGAAUGACACGAAUUGGGACUGGUUUGUGAGACACCUCGCAAAUGACUUGGGCUUAAAGGAUGGCAAAGGCUAUGCUAUAUUAUCUGACAAACAAAAGGUAAACGUCUGAUCUUGAUUUUUUAAAGCUUUUAGUGCUUAAAGCAUUACUGUAUCUUAGUGUUUUUAACUGUCUCAUGCUUGUAAUUGGCAGGGUUUAGUGAAAGCAGUCCACACCAUUCUUCCAGAGGUUGAGCAUAGACAGUGUUGUAGACACAUUUUCGAUAAUUGGAAGAAGAGCAGCCAUGACAUGCAGCUACAAAGACUCUUCUGGCGAAUAGCAAGGAGUUAUACAAUUGGAGAUUAUAAAAUGUGGAGUGAGAGGCUGAAAGAGUACAAUCCAGGCGCCUAUGCUACUCUUCAAGUCACCAAACCAGAAACUUGGUCCAGAGCAUAUUUCAAAUUAGGGACCUUGUGCAACGAUAAUCUCAAUAACCUAAGUGAGUCCUUCAACAGAACCAUCCGUGAAGCAAGAAGGAAGCCAUUAUUGGAGAUGUUAGAGGAUAUAAGGAGACAGUGUAUGGUUCGAAACUUCAGAAGGGCUGUAAUGGCUAAAAAUGCUAAGACAAAGUUCACAAAAAGGACGCAUCUUCAGAUGGCUAAAGUGGAGUCAAAGUCUAAGGAUUGUAUGAGCUUUCCAGCAGUUGGUCCAGUCACAGAGGUUGAUUAUGGUGGUGUGGCUUAUGCUGUGGAUAUGGAUGAGCUAAGUUGUGGGUGUAUCCAGUGGCAAAUGACUGGAAUUCCUUGCAUUCAUGCCGCCUAUGUGAUCCUUAAAGAUGGUAAAAAACUUUCUGACUUUGUAUCUCCUUGUUAUACCAUAGCUAUGUGGCGUCAAACCUAUAGUAUGGGGGUAAGGCCUGUUCAAGGGAAGAAGCUAUGGCCUGAGACGGGUAGAUUAGGUGUCCUCCCACCACCUUGGAGAAAAGGAAACCCGGGAAGACCAAAGAACCAUGAUAGGUUCAAGAGCAAGGGUGAGACAGAGAAGGGCCCGAAAGUCUCUACAACUGAUAGCACGAAGCUAACUCGUGCUGAUCGAGUUAUUACAUGUUCUAAUUGCAAGCAAGAGCAUCAUAACAAGAAGACAUGUAAGAAUGAGUUUGUUGAAAGUCAGCCCAAGAAACCACGAGGGCGCCCUAGGAAAAAUCAGGCAAGUUUCAAGAUGUUUUUGGUUUGUUUCUGAUCUUCUUAUGCUCACUUGAUUUUUUUUUUCAUUGUCAGUCUAAUGCAUCAUCGUCACAACCAAGCCAGGGACAGUCUCAUGCUUCAUCAUCACAACCAACCCAGCCACAAGUGUCAACACAGCCACGAGGGGAAUCAACACAGCCACAAGAGUCAGGGAGAUGGGAACAAGCCACACAUGCACCACCAAACUCAGAUGCGUCGGUAUGGGGUCGAUGGUUUUCGUGAUUUCGAAGUUGGAAGGGGCAGAAGCAGAAGAUAGUAUUUUCGGAUUUAGUGUUUUGAAGUUUUAGUGUUUUGACACUCAUGUUUCAGUUUUAGUGCUUUAACACUCAGGUUUCAGGUUUCUGUCUUGUGUAUCAGUAUUUUCGGAUCUAUUUUGUAGUGCUUUGACACUUAUGCUAUGUUUCAUCAAGCUUUAUUUAAGAUUGGUUUGUAUCUCAACCAACAACAACAACUUAGUUCAUUACUUCAAACAACAACAUAGUCAAUGAAACCAACAUAAUAGUCACUGAAUUAAGCCCCAAACAUAGUCAAGACCAAACAUCAAGCAAAUAACUAACUUAAUUCUACAUCAAACUAACUAGUAGGACAAUGAUGAUCACGCACAUGAUCACAAACAAGAUCGUCAUCAUCACCUUACACCUCUUCACCUCUGUUUUGGCUCUUACAACCUCUUCCAUCAACUCAGUGACCACGCCUUUCAAAUCCUCAAUAUCAGAUUUUUCUUUGUUAAGCUCAGCUUCAAGCAGUACAAUCUUUGGUAAGGCAUCUUGAACCUCUUCAUAAACAGCCUCCUCAACCCAUUUAAACAAGUGGUUCUAUGCAAAAACCAUAAGAUUUUAGGCAUAUUGCUUUAUAUUCAAUUUGAAUAAACGACAACAAUAUAAUCAAGAAGAUAAGAAGCUACCUUUCUUCUCGUAAGACAUCUGAAGAAAGGUCUCCCCGGAUUCUUGUUAGUCUCAGACGUGUAGAUUGUUGUCUUAGUCCCGCAAACACAGCUCGCCGGAAACCCCCGAAUACCGUAUGUGUUCACGGUUGAACUCUCAGCUGUCGAAUCCGAACUCAUCUUCGUGCUAAGGGAAGUCAAUCGUGUGAGAUUGGAGGAUUUUGAGUUGUAAUCGCAAUUUUUAGGGUUGGUGUGUCAAGAAAAUCCCCAAAUCGAUUUGGGGGAAAAUGAUAUUAGGGUUUCGGAUCUUAUUUUGAAGUUUAAGAUAAAAUGUUGUCGUAUUGGCUAACUGUGCAAAUUAACAGGGUUAACAUGUUCCGUUAGUCUAAUUAACGUCGGGUCUAAUUUGAUCCAGUCAAAGAAAAGUUAGCUGGGUUUUUUAAAGUCAAAGAAAAAUUUAUUGUUUUUCAGGUCUUUCCGAAAGCUGGGGAUUAUAAUGGUCCAAAUGAAAAAGCCAAGGAUUUGUUUAACAUUUUUCCCAUUGUAAAAUGGGUUUUGUAAACAAAAAAUGGGUAACACCAUUCACAAUAUGAUAAAAAAAAGUAACUAAAGGUUAUUUCUUUUAUUAUUUUGGGUAACAUUUUUUAUGAUUCAUGUAGUUAAUUCUGUUAAUUAAUGCAUUCAUGUGCUUCGAUUAGGCCUGGGACUUUUAUCCGAGAUCCGGAUUCGAUCCGAGAUUCGAUCCGGAUCCGAUCCGAAAAUCCGGAUAUCCGGAGGGGCCGAAUCCGGAUCCGGAUAGUAAAAUGUUGGAUCCGUCAAAGCCGGAUCCGGAUCCGGAUAUCCGCCGGAUAUUACACUUUUUAGGAGGAUAUCCGACACCCGGAUAUCCGAGAACCCCGGAUCCGGAUAAGGAUAGUAAAAUUAUGGAUCCGCCGGAUAAGGAUCCGGAUCCGGAUACCUUAAAAUUGCCCGGAUAUCCGAUCCGUCCCAGACCUAGCUUCGAUGAAUAUAAUUUUCAUAAGAAAUGGUCCUUCAUUCUUUCAUUCAAAACAAAUUUGAGGCAAAUCUAGUAGUCUAUUCCAUAUAUUUAACGAUCAAGCUCUCAUGACUGAAUUCAUUUAAAGUUCAUGAAAAUAACCAUGACCUUUUAUCUGUACAUUGAUAUAACAAAUAAUAGCGACAAAAAGGAUUAGAGAUUUCCGUGCAAGUGAGCAUGAUGGACAAAGAUAUAAUCAGUGCAAGAGGUUCAAACCAUGUACCCAUAAACUGAUUGUAUCAUUCAUCAAAAAUCUGAGACAGUCUCUGUAUACUCUUCUGAAUUUAAAUAUACAUGCAGUGCAUUGAGAAUCUAAUGACCACGAUUUUGUUGCUUUUCAUGCUCGUAACUAACAGACUAUUAUUUGAGCAUGUUACUUACUGAGAAAGCAUUGCCCAGCACCGGUUUCAUAGUCAAACUCUGCAAACAUAUAAACCUGAGCAUCAAAUUGAGAAUGUCUCUGCCACCGCCACCAUCAGCUCUACUCCAGAGAGGUUAGUUUGUGUUAAAAAGCCUAAGCAAUUCUUCCAUCACAGUAAAAGCAAUGUCGUUCAUAAGAGGCUUGUCCAUGUCUGAUAUAGUAGCCAAGUUAUUAGGCUGAGAAUGCAUAGAACUCGCUGGAAGAAGAUCAAAAUCCAGUGAAGGACCAAUCAUGGACAGAUCCAACGGUGAGAUGCGCAUUGGGUGUAGCGUUGCGAGGUGGGAGGAGAUUGGUCUUCCCAUGUACUUUGAUGCAACCGUUGACAUUCUUUCAAGCUGUGAAAUAAAGAUCAGAUUUAGAAAUUAGGAAGGGGGUUGAAUGAUUAAACCAUAAUGGAUAAACAAAACCUCGUCUCUAAGAUGUACAUUUUCGAUCCGGAGCUUACGCUCAUCGAAGUAAGGAUCUUCACUAACGGGAGGACAUCCACAGUUAGGGUAUAUAGCAUGCUUGAGUGCUUCUCUUAUGGCUAUGUUCUCACAUCGAAUCUUGUCGUUCUCUGCCUAUAGUGCAUUGUUAUCUGCUCUCUCAUGUUGCGCCUACAGAAACAGUAUCAACAAAUCUUAUUCAGACAACAUUUUAAACACACAAAAGAGGGAGAGAUUAAGACACAUAACCUUAAGCUGAGUUCUGCUGUUGUGGAACAGAACUUGAUUUGUCUUGGAGAGCCAAACCCAAUUCUCUGCUAAGUUGGUUCCUCUGCUUAUCAUCUGGAUGAUAACACUCCUUUAAACUCCUGCAAGAGAUUCAAACCAUUAUAAACACUAUGAUUAAGAGCUUUAAGAUCUGAGAAACCUCAAACGUUUCAAAAAGAGCAUUCAAAGAUUUUAACAAAAAUCGAAAUAUAAAAUUUGAUUAUGAGAUAAAUAAAAAUUUUGAUAAUUGGUCGCCGGAAUAGUUAAAAACAAUAUGGUUAUGAGAUUUAAGAUCUGACAAACCUAAGCAUCAAGGAGGAGCAUGUCCACCCCCAUCAACUCGCCACCACGGUUGACGCCAGAAUCUCAACAAAGAACGGGACCUCCACGGUGGAAGAACAUUGAAUAUGGUGAUGAGCAUCGAAGGAAUUAAGAUGUAUCUUAAAGGCGAUGAAUGUGGCUUCGAAACGGCUGUGAGUAAGGAAUAAACACGAAACGACUGAAAGGAAGUGUAAGCCUGAAACACGACGAUUCGUCUCUCUAGACUUUUAGAAUCUCCGUUGUUGAUACAGAUCGAGGAAGACGAUUAAAACCUAAUUUCCAAUAUCGACUCUAGCAGAAAAGACUCUAUCUAGCUAUUGGGCUGAAUACUCAAUUUUCUGAAGAGAAUAAUACUAACAGCCCAGCCCAUAAUAAAAACAAAUUAAAAUCAAAACGAAAACGAAACAAAUCUCACAAGGGAAAAGGACAUGUGUCAAGCCCUGGUUCUUCUAGUUAAUGACGUGUCUUCAUAGGAGAGACACAAACAUUUCUUUAUAUACAUAUAAGAUUAUACUUCACAUUUAUUAUUUUUAAGUAUUUUCUCUUUCAUAUUUUUAAUCUUUAAAACUUUUAUAUAUUUUAAAUAUUUCAAAUUAUAUUUAUAAAAUUUAAAUUUUACACUUAAAAAAAAUUAAACUAAGAUUUAUAAUAUUUUAAAAGUAGAAUUAGACAACAAGAAUAUUUCAAAAGAAAUUUAAUAGAAUUUUUUUUAUGAAGAUACAUGACCAUGAUUAUUACACAAAUUUAAAUAUUACAACAAUACUAAUAGUCUAGUAAAUUUUCUCCGGAACUUCUAAAAUAUUGUCCAAACAAAUUUUGUGUAACCGAAAAUAGAGCAUUAAAAAAAUAAUUUUAUGUAAUAAUAUGGUAUUUUUCUUGUAUUUUAAUAUUUAAUUAUGUAUUUCUAUUUAUAAUUUUAUAUUUUUUGUUGUAAGAUUUUAUUAAUUAAAAUUACUAUAAUAUUAUUAUAUAUAUGCUGGCUAACUAUAAAAGUUUUAUGGAUUUAUAUUAAUUAUGACAAAUAUAAGGAGUAUAGUAUAAUUUACAAAUAAUUUUAAAGUUAAAUUUGAAGUUUUGCUUUUGGAGAAGAACACCUUCAAACUUCAAAUAUAGAGUUUGCAAAACUAUAUAAUAAAGAAUCUUUUUGGAGAUACACUUAGAACACGAAGCAUGAGAUGUCGGUGACAACGCAAUGCUCAUUUCAUUUGGUUUUUCUGUCCUUGCCUCAAUUGGUUACUGUUACAGAUGUUAAUAAAUGAGUAAAUUACCAAUAGGAUACCCUAAGUUUUUCUAAACUUUCAAACCCAAAACUUACUGUAUUUGACUAAAAGCAUUUCUAAGAGCAAUUUUACUUUUAAAGUUUGGUGAACUUUAAAUUUGAGGUUUAAUGGUGACUUUCACCCAUGAUAAAACUUUAAAUAUUUUUUUUAAAGAAAUUAUUUGCAAUUAUAGUCCUUAAGAUUGUUUGAAGUUAAUAAGAAUUACAAAACUAUAAAUAAUAAAACAUAUAUGAAAAAGUAUUACAAGCAAUAUUUGUCUCACAUCGACAAGCUCGACGCAACAGUAUGACGCAACAAUAUAAUACUAGCUGAUAUCUUUAUGGACGCUUUCUCCGGAUAAAACUAAAUACUCAAGUAUCCAGACGAUCAUGAGAAAACGUUCUUUAUGAUGUCAGAAGGCAAUUUAUUACUGCAAGGUUAUGAAUUUUCGCUUAAAGAAUGCCGGCUCCACUUAUUAUAAACUGAUAAACAUGAUCGUUUGCAUAACAUACCAGACAGAGCAUAGAAGUUUACAUGCACGAUAUGCUCGUCAACUUUCUGGAAGUAGAAGAUCAUAUAGGCCACCUACAUCAAGCAUUCUCAACCCUGAGAAAAAAAAAACAGUAUGAAGCUCAAUUCCUCCAAGUGAUCUUCCAAUCUCUCUUACUCUGUCAUAAACUCGUCACUUCCUUGGCUUGUCCAUAAUCAGAUCACUAAUCUUCUGGCUCUCUGGAUUUAAGGUUUUACCCAUGAUACAGAUCUUGUUCCUUUUGCUCUGCAUUAGGGCAUUGUCUGGUAGGUUAAAAGGAAUUCCCUUCGCCUGCAAUGACAUUGCGUCAAUCACCUUAUCAGUAUUUAUACUUGUUCUGAAGAAAUUCCAAAAAACAUUUUCUUCAAAAAGGUAUAGAACGGCUACAUCAAAAUCAUAGAAAAACCAAUAGAAAUAGUAUAUAAUAUAUUUUUCCAAAUAUAGCGGUUCCAUGUUUUUGACACUCAGAAAAUAGAAAACAAAUUCUCAACCGUAAACACUGUUUUUCAUAAAGAUAAUAUAUUUGUUAAGAAAAAAAUGAAAACCUAAGCUAAAAAAGCCAAAUUACACACUUUUGAAUAGUUUAUUAUUGCGUGCAUUUGAAAUAAACUAAAUUAUAUAUAAAUAAGAGCAUCUCUACAAAUUUAAAAAAAUGUAGGACAAGAUGGUUUGACCGGUGGAAGCGUCUUAUUCCAGUAAUUUGACUAAUGAUUCAUUAACGUUUUUCCACCGGUAUAUCCAAAUUUCAAUUCCCAAAAAAAUAAUUUGUUAAACAACUAAAGAAAAAAAAGUUAAAAAGAGAUCUUCAAAAUUUUGCAAGUAAACUCGACCAUGUGUGAAUUUUUAUAGAAUGACUCAGGUGAAACAAUUAGACAUAGAUUUUCAUCAAACAUAUAACAUUGUCGGUUGUACAAUGAAUGCAGCUUUUGCGGUUGGUAGCGGUUGUUGGCGUUUUGCAACAAUCACUCAAACCGCUUCAAACCGUUUUAAACCUCAUAAUUCAAUAGCUGGUUCCCGCUAGCGUUUGCGGUUGCGGGAGAAUAUUUUUUUCUUUUUAAAAUAAUAUAAAUACAAAAAUAAAAAUAUUCAAUAAAAAAUUUAAAUUGGAAUUAUAAAAAGAAUAAAAUAUAUCUAUACAUUUCAAUUAAUAUUAUAAAAAAAUAAAUAAUUUAUUUUAUAAUUUUAAGACGUUUAAAACUAUAACUUUCUAAAUAUAAUUUUUAUAUUUAUUAUAAUAUUAUGAUUAUAUUUUUAUAAUUAUAAAAAAUAUAAAUAUUGUUAAUUUAUUAUUUAACCGCUGCUGCAUUUGGUAGUUAACCAGACAUAACUAUCCUGCAAACGUGCCAAUUUUUAACCACAAAACCAAUCAUACAAAUCUCUUAAAACCGCUAGAAACCGCAACCACCCGCAUUCGCAAAUUUCCACGACCGCAACCGCUGUGUUUGAACCAGUCAGACCCUAGACGUGAUGGAGUAAGCUAUAACAGUUUUUUUGUUGUUGAGAAUUUACCAAAUAAAUGGAUAUUUUAGUGAGUCAGGUUAUUCAUAUUGGUGAGAAUUAAUAUUAAUGUUUGUGUUUAGUAUGAAAAGGGUGAAAAGUAAUUAUUUUUAUAUAUUAAAGAUCUAAAAUUAUUAUAAAAUAUACUAUAACUAUUUUAUUAUUAUAUAUUUAGUAAAACCAUAUACUGUAUAGAUUUAAAUGAUAAAUAUUAUAUACGACCAUAAUAUAUUUAGUAAUAGAACAAUGAAGAAGGUAAAUACAGUAUGCAGUGUAUCUAACAAUACAAGAAAAACUCCAUAAAUUAAUAAUGUUAAUAUUAUGAUAUUUUAUUAAUUUAUAGAGUUAUUAAUAUAUAUAUUUAUUGAUUUAUAAAACUUUCCUUUCUAGAUUUUACUGUUUAUAUAUUAAUUAAAUUUUAGAAAAUCGAUUUUUUUCUAUUGUCUAAAUUUUUAUAGAUAUAUUUUUACUAAAUAUUAUCAAAAGUAUAUUGAAGGUUAAGAAAAAAUAGAGAUGAAUUCUAUUGUUAAUAUAAAUUAAACAAUAUUAUCUUUUGUUUGUAUUUAUAUGAAAUAUAUAUAUAUAUAUAUAUAUAAAAUAUUAAUUUAUGAUUUUAUAGGACCAUAUAUUUACAUAAGAUUUUUUUAAAAAAUAUUAUCUUAUUAUUUUAUUGAUUUGUAUCAUAUUUUGAAUCAUCUCAAUUCGGGAUUGAAAAAAUUAUUAAUUUACUGCGUUUAUUAAUUUAUAGAGUUUCUACUGUAUUAGUUUUUUUGUACCAAUUUCACUUUUUCAUUAAACAGUUUAACAACCAUUUUUAAUUUCAAACGGCUGAUCUAGUACUUAAAAUUAAGGUGGUUUAGGUAACUAUACAAAAUAUAAGAACCAAUAAAAUACAAAUAUCUGUGAUAUUUUCUUGCUAUCUUAGCUAAUGAGUCUGCUUAUUUGUUUUAAGAAAAAGGAUGAUAAACAAUAAACAAGUCUACAAAAAUCUACUCUUCAAUCUUGAAAAUUUUUUUAUCUCCAUUGAAAAGUUUGGCCCUGCUUAUAAAUCUUGUAUCAUCGAAACGAGGUCCUUGCAAUUUGUACUAAAGUGUUGGCACAACAACAUUUGUAACAUGCAUUCGAUAGCCCAAGAAAUGGCCAUAAGCUCUAAAUGUAUCGGUAACACACUUCUCGUCUGAUUUUUAGCUCCUCAAAGUUGAUUUUUUCAUGUCGAAUUUGUCUAAGCCCAUACAAAACCAAUAAAGAGUUAUUCAUGAGUCCAUGAUUUAUAGACCAUACAAAUUUCAUGUAAGCUUAUGCUGAUGACUCGGAUAGAUGAUGGACUAUGUAGUUCCUCAGGUUCCUUCACCUUUUUGAUAUUAGCCUCAAAGCAAGCUUGGUCUAUUAGGGAUAAAUGUUACAUAAGAUUUAGUUAUCUUAGCUAAUGAGUCUGAUUAUUUGUUUUUAGAAAAAGGAUGAUAAACAAUAAACAAGUCUACAAAAAUCUACUCUUCAAUCUUGAAAGUUUUUUUAUCUCCAUUGGAAAGUUUGGCCCUGCUUAUAAAUCUUGUAUCAUCGAGACGAGGUCCUUGCAAUUUGUACUAAAGUAUUGGCACAACAACAUUUGUAACAUGCAUUCGAUAGCCCAAGAAAUGGCCAUAAGCUCUAAAUGUAUCGGUAACACACUUCUCGUCUGAUUUUUAGCUCCUCAAAGUUGAAUUUUUCAUGUCGAAUUUGUCUAAGCCCAUCCAAAACCAAUAAAGAGUUAUUCAUGAGUCCAUGAUUUAUAAACCAUACAAAUUUCAUGUAAGCUUAUGCUUAUGGCUCGGAUAGAUGAUAGACUAUGUCGUUCCUCAGGUUCCUUCACCUUUUUGAUAUUAGCCUCAAAGCAAGCUUGGUCUUCCAUUUCGGCAUGCCUAAUAGUGUCUACGGAAUGCCUGUUAAUUCCUUUGAACAAUUUAUCAUUUUGCGCUUUUCAGAUAUACAAAAUAUCUAUAAGUAAGUGUUUCUAUCCAUUUCUGGAUAUAUACACAUGAAAUAGGGAAUACCAUUGGGUAAGAAGGUAUUGCUGCUAAUACCCAAGUUUAAAAAGUGGGUAGACAAUAAAAUAGCAUGGUUUAUGAAUUCAUCUUUUACUCUGGAUCUAAAACAUUGAUUAUCAUAUUUCAUAUGGCCGUGUUAAAUUCAUGGUUGCAUACAGUUUAACUACCGUGUUCAGUUACCAAUCGGACCCACUAUAUAGUAUUGUUUCCCUUCUUCGUUUAUCGACGUUAGCGUUAACAGUGUACUCAUUGCUCACAACUAAGUAGCUCAUAACUUGUAGUAAUAGUUACUAAAUGUGAUCUUAUUAAUUAACUGAAUCAAACUAAGCGAAUAAUUAGGAGUUCCACUAACAUUAAAGAUUUGGUCAUGUGUCUGAUUUGUCGUCUCCCAAUUAUGUAUGCAAAUUUUGUGGGAAACCUCGUUAUCAGGAGACGAGGGGAAGAGUUCCGAUCCCAUUCAAAAGAAUGUGGUAUUUGCCUUUGACGGAAAGAUUGAAGAGGUUGUAUCAGUGUGAGCGCACAGCAAAAGCAAUGAGAUGGCAUGCAGAGCAUUCCACAAAUGGUGAGAUUAGACAUCCUUCAGAUGCAAAGGCUUGGAAACAUUUCCAGUCAACAUAUCCAGAAUUUGCGGAAGAGAGAAGAAAUGUUUAUCUUGGAUUAUCUACUGAUGGUUUCAGCCCAUUUGGAAAGCAUGGAAGGCAGUAUUCUCUAUGGCCAGUUAUUGUGACACCGUACAACUUACGGCCGAGCUUGUGCAUGCGACGAGAGUUUUUGUUUCUCUCAAUUCUAGUCCCCGGGCCAGAUCAUCCUAAAAGAUCACUAGAUGUAUUUCUUCAACCACCAAUAUAUGAGUUGCAACAACUAUGGGCGCAUGGUUUUGAGACAUACCAUGUUUCGCGCAAAGAAAACUUUCAGAUGCGGGCAGUACUUAUGUGGACAAUAAGUGACUUUCCAGCAUAUGGUAUGUUAUCUGGAUGGACAACACAUGGGAAGCUAUCAUGUCCAUAUUGUCAAGAUGACACAGAUGCUUUCCAACUAAAGAACGGAAGGAAAACGUGUUGGUUUGACUGUCACAGACGAUUUCUACCACCUGAUCAUCCAUACCGCAGGAGUAAGACUUCGUUUACGAAGAACAAGCAGGUGUUUGAUGGUCCACCUGAGGAAGUUAGUGGGAAAGAUUUGUUGAAGCAGUUUAGGUAUUUUGAUGCAGAAAGGACGCCAGAUGUAGGUGGACAUGAAAACAUUCGAGUCAAUGCGGUUGGAGAGCUACAUAACGGGCAAAAAAAGAGUAUUUUCUGGGAUCUGCCAUAUUGGGAGAGUCAUCUAUUGCGGCAUAAUUUAGAUGUCAUGCAUAUUGAGAAGAACUUCUUCGAUAAUCUGAUGAACACAGUCCUUAACAUCCAAGGUAAAACGAAGAAUAAUUUGAAGUCAAGGUUGGAUUUAGUCGAUAUUUGUGAUCGUUCUGAACUUCACGUUGAUGAGAACGGUACGGCUCCUUUUCCCAUUUAUCGGCUGGAUGGUGCUAGAAAAGAAGAGUUCUUUGAUUGGAUUACAGAGAAAGUGAAAUUUCCUGACGGAUAUGCAUCAAAUUUGGGGAACUGCGUUGAUAGAAGCGAAGGAAAGUUUACUGGCUUGAAGAGUCAUGAUUGUCAUGUAAUUAUGCAGCGCCUCCUUCCGUUUGCNNNNNNNNNNNNNNNNNNNNNNNNNNNNNNNNNNNNNNNNNNNNNNNNNNNNNNNNNNNNNNNNNNNNNNNNNNNNNNNNNNNNNNNNNNNNNNNNNNNNNNNNNNNNNNNNNNNNNNNNNNNNNNNNNNNNNNNNNNNNNNNNNNNNNNNNNNNNNNNNNNNNNNNNNNNNNNNNNNNNNNNNNNNNNNNNNNNNNNNNNNNNNNNNNNNNNNNNNNNNNNNNNNNNNNNNNNNNNNNNNNNNNNNNNNNNNNNNNNNNNNNNNNNNNNNNNNNNNNNNNNNNNNNNNNNNNNNNNNNNNNNNNNNNNNNNNNNNNNNNNNNNNNNNNNNNNNNNNNNNNNNNNNNNNNNNNNNNNNNNNNNNNNNNNNNNNNNNNNNNNNNNNNNNNNNNNNNNNNNNNNNNNNNNNNNNNNNNNNNNNNNNNNNNNNNNNNNNNNNNNNNNNNNNNNNNNNNNNNNNNNNNNNNNNNNNNNNNNNNNNNNNNNNNNNNNNNNNNNNNNNNNNNNNNNNNNNNNNNNNNNNNNNNNNNNNNNNNNNNNNNNNNNNNNNNNNNNNNNNNNNNNNNNNNNNNNNNNNNNNNNNNNNNNNNNNNNNNNNNNNNNNNNNNNNNNNNNNNNNNNNNNNNNNNNNNNNNNNNNNNNNNNNNNNNNNNNNNNNNNNNNNNNNNNNNNNNNNNNNNNNNNNNNNNNNNNNNNNNNNNNNNNNNNNNNNNNNNNNNNNNNNNNNNNNNNNNNNNNNNNNNNNNNNNNNNNNNNNNNNNNNNNNNNNNNNNNNNNNNNNNNNNNNNNNNNNNNNNNNNNNNNNNNNNNNNNNNNNNNNNNNNNNNNNNNNNNNNNNNNNNNNNNNNNNNNNNNNNNNNNNNNNNNNNNNNNNNNNNNNNNNNNNNNNNNNNNNNNNNNNNNNNNNNNNNNNNNNNNNNNNNNNNNNNNNNNNNNNNNNNNNNNNNNNNNNNNNNNNNNNNNNNNNNNNNNNNNNNNNNNNNNNNNNNNNNNNNNNNNNNNNNNNNNNNNNNNNNNNNNNNNNNNNNNNNNNNNNNNNNNNNNNNNNNNNNNNNNNNNNNNNNNNNNNNNNNNNNNNNNNNNNNNNNNNNNNNNNNNNNNNNNNNNNNNNNNNNNNNNNNNNNNNNNNNNNNNNNNNNNNNNNNNNNNNNNNNNNNNNNNNNNNNNNNNNNNNNNNNNNNNNNNNNNNNNNNNNNNNNNNNNNNNNNNNNNNNNNNNNNNNNNNNNNNNNNNNNNNNNNNNNNNNNNNNNNNNNNNNNNNNNNNNNNNNNNNNNNNNNNNNNNNNNNNNNNNNNNNNNNNNNNNNNNNNNNNNNNNNNNNNNNNNNNNNNNNNNNNNNNNNNNNNNNNNNNNNNNNNNNNNNNNNNNNNNNNNNNNNNNNNNNNNNNNNNNNNNNNNNNNNNNNNNNNNNNNNNNNNNNNNNNNNNNNNNNNNNNNNNNNNNNNNNNNNNNNNNNNNNNNNNNNNNNNNNNNNNNNNNNNNNNNNNNNNNNNNNNNNNNNNNNNNNNNNNNNNNNNNNNNNNNNNNNNNNNNNNNNNNNNNNNNNNNNNNNNNNNNNNNNNNNNNNNNNNNNNNNNNNNNNNNNNNNNNNNNNNNNNNNNNNNNNNNNNNNNNNNNNNNNNNNNNNNNNNNNNNNNNNNNNNNNNNNNNNNNNNNNNNNNNNNNNNNNNNNNNNNNNNNNNNNNNNNNNNNNNNNNNNNNNNNNNNNNNNNNNNNNNNNNNNNNNNNNNNNNNNNNNNNNNNNNNNNNNNNNNNNNNNNNNNNNNNNNNNNNNNNNNNNNNNNNNNNNNNNNNNNNNNNNNNNNNNNNNNNNNNNNNNNNNNNNNNNNNNNNNNNNNNNNNNNNNNNNNNNNNNNNNNNNNNNNNNNNNNNNNNNNNNNNUUGAAUAAAUCUCAUAGGAGUUGGCAUGAAGAAGUUAUCCCACUUUCAAAUCAGGUGAUCCCAGUUUCCCAGUUUGGGAAUAACACAGCUUCUUCUCUACAAUUUUGAUACAAAGGUUGUUUUCCUGCAUCCAACAUGUCAAAAAAUCUCCUAGACUCGGGGUUUGGUUCUUCCCCUCUAUAAUGAUCAUGUACCAUCUGCUCAGUACCUACACCAUAAUCUAUAUCCGUUCUAGAUUCUUCUAACCUAAUAUCAGGCUGAGGUUCACUAACAGGCUGAGGUUCGCUAGUACUACCAUAUUCAUAACCAGUUUCCCCAUGAAGGUACCAAACUUUAUAAUUACGUGAAAACCCUUUCAUAUACAAAUGAGUCCAAACAUCAAAUUCUUUUAUAACCUUAUUAUUAUUGCAAGAAGAGCAGGGACAUCUUAACAUACCACUUUUUGCAUCCGGUUGCUGUUGAACAAGCCUCAUGAAUUCUCCAAUCCCUUGAACGUAUUCUUCCGUAAGCAAAUUGGUGUUCGGAUCCAAAUGAGGUUUAUCCAUCCACGAACGAUAAUAAACUUCUGAAGACAUGAUUUUCACGGAAUUGUUAUGACUAAAGAGAAUGAAGAGAGAAUGAAGUGUGAAUGAGAUGAAUGAAGAGGGGUUAUAUUUAUAGGAAAUUGCUUACGGACCUCCGAUGACUUUCCGACGGAUGUAAGCAGUCCGUCGGAAUUCCGUCGGAAUUGUCCAAUCUCAUAGUUCGUCGGAAUUCCGUCGGUAUUUUCCGAUGGAAUUCCGACGACUUUGCUCUUAAUCGGAAUGUCGUCGGAAAUUCGUCGGAAUAUACCGACGAACUUCCGACGACUACAACGGUUACAUUUUUUAUCGGAAUGUCGUCGAAAAGUCGUCGGAAAAUUCCGACGAACCAAAUUUGGUCGGAAUUCCGUCGGAAAUGGCCGACGGAAUUCCGACGACUUAAUUUUUUUGGAUUUGGUCGGAAAUUUGUCAGUAUUCCGUCACAAAUUUCCGACGACCUUGGUGUCCGUCGGAACCUCCGUCGGAAUUCGGUGUGUUUUCUUGUAGUGCAAGGAACCAAAAGCAUCGCCUCAAGUGGAGGCCAGCAGUAAAUCAGUAACCAUAUAUACACAUUCAUACAUUUUAAUGCAAGAUAAGAUAAUAGCACUUCUGCCACGUGGCCUUAACAUAGUGGUCAGUAUCGAUAAGGGUCUUAACACCUUUCUUUAAUCAUGUGGCAGUUAACGACGUUAUCAUGAAAUCUGGACCCUCUGGUUAUUAGGGCCUUUUCCUCUUGCGGUUCUCGUUAUAUAUAAUAGAUAACCAAAGCUAUAGACAAACAAGUAAGUUAAGAGAAAAGAAGAAGAAGAAGAAGUAGUAAUGGCUUCCUCUAUGCUUUCCUCCGCUGCUGUGGUUACCUCACCGGCUCAAGCCACCAUGGUCGCUCCAUUCACCGGCUUGAAGUCAUCCGCUGCAUUCCCAGUCACCCGCAAAGCAAACAACGACAUUACUUCCAUUGCAAGCAACGGAGGAAGAGUUAGCUGCAUGAAGGUAAAUAUCACUAGAAUAAUUGCAGGCAUGUCCUUUAUUACACGCAACUGGUGCAUUCGAACAUGAAUCCCAUUGAAAAAUGUAUAUAACGUACCUUGGAUCAAUAAAUGUCCAAAACAAUAUAUACAAACUUGACUUAGUAUUCACCAACUGGAAAUGUGAUUUAAUUUGUAGGUGUGGCCACCAGUUGGAAAGAAGAAGUUUGAGACCCUCUCUUACCUUCCUGACCUUACCGAAGUUGAAUUGGGUAAGGAAGUUGACUACCUUCUCCGCAACAAGUGGAUUCCUUGUGUUGAAUUCGAGUUGGAGGUAAUAAAGAAAAAAUAAUUUUUGGAUCUAAACAUCCUUUAUUAGACCAUGUGAAUUCUUAUUAUGAAUGGUACUCUCAUGUUUGUGUAGCAUGGAUUUGUGUACCGUGAGCACGGAAGCACACCCGGAUACUACGAUGGCCGUUACUGGACAAUGUGGAAGCUUCCCUUGUUCGGAUGCACUGACUCUGCUCAAGUGUUGAAGGAAGUCCAAGAAUGCAAAACGGAGUACCCUAACGCUUUCAUCAGGAUCAUCGGAUUCGACAACAACCGUCAAGUCCAGUGCAUCAGUUUCAUCGCCUACAAGCCACCAAGCUUCACCGGUGCUUAAUUUGCUAUGACAUUCACAUAAUAAUCUCUGCUCAUUUCAUUUCGAAUUGUCUGUUUCUUUUCCCUUUGGUUUUCUGUUUCUCAGACAUUCUAUAUCGGAUUGUCAAAUGUGUGAUUGUGAACAUGUAAUCUCUAUAUUGCUUCUUCGUCUUGGUUACUUUCCGAUGGCUAUUAGGUUUUCAACUCUUAUUGGGAUAGGAAAACAGUCAAAAUAACUUAACAAAACAGGUUAGAUAAUGUUAGUGGUAUAUUUUGUAGAAUAGGAAAACAGCAGUACCUAGGAAUAUAAUUUCAGAUGAAGUUAGUUAGGUCAUCAAAGAUUCAAAUAACAAUCAUUUUAUCUUUUUAUCGUCACAUUCACAAUAGUAUCAUAUACGGGUUUAUGUAUAUUUAAUAUAGAUUACAAUUCAUUCAUAAAAUAGUCAUCAUUUGAUAUUUAACACUUAUUACGUGGACUUUAUGAGAUCUUUUGUACACACUACUGGUACAUUGAAAAUAAGAUACAUGUAUUAUAUAUAUAUAUAAACUACUUCCUAGAUAUCUUUGUUCUUAUUUUUGUUAAUUCUUUUGAAGGAAAAAGAUAAUAAAUUUUCUACUUUUCUAUAAUACCCACACACAUUGUUAACCACUGGGGGAAAGGAUGGUCCACUUGAAAUCUUUGAUGGACACAUUUGUGGACGGUGUGCAUACAUAAGAUAGGGCAUGUGGAUAAGAAUUUAUCAUAAUAUUUAACAAAUACUAAGUGAAAAUCUGCGCCUUGCGGAAGAUGAACAUUAUAAUAUAUAUAUUAUGUAUUAUAUGUUCUUUUACCUUUUAAGAAAUAAUAAAGAAUAAAUAAAAAUUCAUUAACUAUUAUGUAUAUAAUUAAACUGGUAUAAUAAAUUAUAUUAACCAAAACAAUCACUUUCUAUUUUAUAUGAUAUAUAAUUCAAUUUUUAAAUGAUAAUAACAUUUUUUUUUGUCAUCUGUUGGAUUAAUAUUGAAACUUGAACAAAGGUUACAUUAAGCCGGCAAGACAAAGAUUCUUCCGGAGCCAGUAGCCAGCAUAGUAAACAAUACUAUCUGGAGCCAAAGAUUAAAAUAUAGAAAACAACACAUAAACUAGAAGACACAGACCAUAAAGGCAGAUGACUACAAACAUCUAGACGAGACUCAAACCCAUUCAUACAAGAAACAAACCGGACUGUUAGCUAAUAGAUAACCGUUGCUGUAGACUGCGCCUCCUCCUCCUCCUCUACGCCUGUACUCCACUGACCUCCUCCAAUUCCAACUUAAACUCGCCACUGGACUUUGAAAGGGCUCAGCACGCGCCUUCUACGCGCCUCCACACCACAGCAAGGCCACCCAAGCCUUACUUAACACGAUUCUUCUCCAUACAGCCGGUAACCACUAGCCAACCACCACAGGCCAUAGAUCUGACAAGAUCGAUGUCUGUUGCGUCCAGAUCUGAAUCUCUUCACUUCAAUCCGAAGACAUGAAGCUUCUAUUCAGAUUUGAGACCAUCGAAAACUAAAAAGAGAAUAAAACUAGAAGAAACAUGCAACCACCUUCUCACGGAACCAACGGCGAGAGGCCGCGGCCGGAGAAGGUGAAAAGACGACGACUCUGCUUUUUUUUUUCACUCGCUCUGCCCUUUUUUUCACCAGUAUCAAUGUCCAAAAAAAAUGAUAAUAACAUAUAUAUAUAUAUAUAUAUAAUUUAUUUUUAAUAUUGAUAUCUAUUAAAUGAUGUUUUUACUCAUAAGGUUUUUUGAUCAUUUGUAUAUUUUUAUAACCAAAAACUUUAAAUCGUUGAUAACAAAAUUUUCACUCUGAAAUUAAUAAUUUUAUUAAUUUAUAUAUUUUUUAAAAAAAUCAAUGAAAUAUUUUAAGUUUAAAUAUUAAUUUGUCAAUAGUUGUUCAAAUAUUUAUCAAGAAAAAAAAAUUCAAAACAAAUUUCAAAAUUAAAAUAUUUAUGUAUUCUAUAUGUUAUAUAGUUUAAUUUAAAAGAUAUUAAUAUAUAUAUUUUUUAAUCUUAAUAUUUAUUAAAUCAGAUUUUUUAAUUAAAUUAUUUUGUAAGCAUUUGUAUCUUAUCAUAGGAAAAAUCUUAAACAAUGGAUCACAAUAAUUUGAAUGUGAGAGUUUUGACAGUUUUAAUAAUUGAUGGUCGUUUUAAAAAAAAUAUAUAACAUAUACAGAAAAAUCUAAAUUUUUAUUAUAUGGUUAAUGUGGUCGUUUAAUUUAUUUUAAUAAUUUGAAAUUAAACAAAUAUGAUAGAUGAUACAAUGAUUUUUAUUAAAUCUGUAUUAUUAAUUUUCAUAUAUACUUUAGCCACAUUAGAAAAUUUUGUAAUUUUUAUUUAAGGAAAGAAUGAUGAAUAUUAAUGAUGAAUUAUGAUUAAUUUAAUAAAAAACUUAUUAUAUAUUUAGAUGAACCAAUCUGUUUUUUUAGGAUUCUGAAACUUAUUAUGGUGAUGAUAUGUGUAUACCUCAAAUGUUGUAAUGUUUUUCUUUUAAUAUAUAAGAGAUACACACAUAUAUAUAUAUUUCUUAAUUCUUAAUUGUAGUUAAGUAAAACAUUGCUGCGUUGCAAAUGUGAACUAGAACAUCUACAUAAACAAGACCUUUUAACAACUGAAUAUUUACUGUAAAAUAGAAGUUUGUUUGAAGGAAAAAAGAAAUAUAAUUUAAAAAUAAGAAAAAAUUUCUGGGAAGAACUUGUGAUGCAGGUUUAGGUUUUCUAUACAAGGAGCAUGAGCCUUAUAAAGAAUAAUGGACUUUGGAGAAUAAGAAAACCGAUAGAGAUUUGUGUGCUUGUGUGAUCGAUCGUUUGGUGUCAUUGCUGCCCGCUAGGUGCUAACAAACUUUGAGAGAAUUCUAGAAUUGAAUUCUAGGCUCUUGGGGAUUUUUAGAUUACGAUUAGGUUAUCCUAAUGAGUUCUUGCAAUAGAAAACAACGGCAUUUUAGGAGGAUUGCACUUUCCUUACUUAACACGAUUCUUCUCCAUACAGCCGGUAACCACUAGCCAACCACCACAGGCCAUAGAUCUGACAAGAUCGAUGUCUGUUGCGUCCAGAUCUGAAUCUCUUCACUUCAAUCCGAAGACAUGAAGCUUCUAUUCAGAUUUGAGACCAUCGAAAACUAAAAAGAGAAUAAAACUAGAAGAAACAUGCAACCACCUUCUCACGGAACCAACGGCGAGAGGCACUUUACUCUAGCCUCAUUCACACUUUCAAUUGGUAUCAAAACGAUUUUCCGAUAGGCCUGAGAUUUUGGGUAAUCGGGUCGGUUCCGAGUAGUUUGGUUAUUUGAAAACUGUAUCCAAAUAGUGUUUGGUCGACGUAUGGUUCAGUUUCGAAUCGGUCAAAUUUUUUGAUGAAACUAACCAUAUAUAACCCAAAAAUGGGUAAAUUUUGGUUCGGUUAAAUAUUACCCUAUUUAACUAAAAACUGAAACUAGACUUGUUACCCAAACGACAUCUGAUUAACCAAAAAAAAAAAACUCUAGAAAAUGAAAUGUUAAAUGAAACCAGACUCAUUAAUCAAAGUGUCAAAGCAAAACAAGCCAGGAAAUAAAAUAUAAUUUUCCAACACAGAAAAUGAAACAAACAUAGCUCCAUGAAACAAAGUUUUCAAAUCACACCAGAAACAAAAAAUACUUAAGUCUUAAACAAGAAGAACACAAACUGUCAAAUUACUUGAAAUAUUGUCUUUUUAGCACCAAAUGAGUCCCAGAGUUCACUCCUUACUCUAUGUUGUAUUCAGUUUCAAACUCUAGGAAAAAACAAAGAAUACCAUAAGUGUUCAAAACUUCAAUAAUCAAGAUUAUAUUUGGAAGUUCUGAUCAUGACACAUUGCAACCAAACUCUAGAAUCAGCGUAAGUCUAGUUGAAGAUUAGAAAAUUUUAACUCGUUGUCGAUUUUACCGAGUUUGGAAAUGAUGCUGUUGUACACUUCAAGUCAGAUGCUGAGGUUGGAGAGUUUGACGAAGAUUCGGAUUCAUGUCCGUCUGAUUAUUCUUCGGAUUUUGGGUAGAUUAACGUAUUUAGAAAAUCUGUAAUCAUAUAUUUAACUUUCAAUUGUGUAGUUUUUUUAUUUAUUGGUUGUUGGAGUUGAAUAAAAUAGUUGUAUUUUUUUGGUUGUUGGACUUAAGAAAUUUACAAUGUAUUCGAAAAUUAUUUAAUAUUCAAAAAUUUCUUUAUUUUGUUGGUAUUCUGUCGGUAUAUUCCAACAGAAUUCCAAUGAAAACACUUAUAUUGGGGUUUCGGUUUGGGGUUUCAUUUCCAUCGGAAUUAUACCAACGGAAUUGACCAAUGUCGUCGGAAUUCUGUCGGAAUAUUCCGAUGGAAUUCCAGCGAAUAAAUGUUUUCGAUAUGAUUCAGUUAAUAUUAAUGUAAAACCGGAUACCUAUGAGGUCAAAAACACAUAUUAAGUGUCUAAUAGGAUGUGAGUUAAAAAGCAUUCCAUUUUUACAAGUUAUAAAAUCCUCUACAAAUAUAUCCGCGGAUAUGUAAUAUCUCCCAUAAGCAUUUAUAUACUUAAAAAACAUAUUUCGAGAAUCCAACUUACAAUAUCAAUUAUUUGUAAUAUGAUCUCGUAUAAACAAUUAUAUACUUAAACAUGCAGAUAACUCCUUCUAAGUUAUCAAAAAGUUAUAAGAGUUUAUUGUGGGUCAAAUUUCAAUUGUUUUGAAACCCCCUCUCAUUUUCAUUGUAAAUUCAUUGGAAUAUACUGGCAAAAUUCCGAUGGAUCUAUUUUUCAACCAAUUGAAAAGCAUGCAGAGAAUAUGCUAUAUUCGUCAGAAUUUUAAAAGUAUUUUUCUGAAAAACUUCUGACGAAUAUAGCAUAUUCUUGUUUCCGACUUGGUCAGUUGACCAAUUAACAAAAAGUUCGACGAAAAAUAUAGGGUCAUUGUAAUUUCGUCGGAAUUUUAAUGUACCUGGGAAAAGGAACAGCCAAAAUUUUCGUGAACUGCCAAAUACCAAAAUAUUUUGAUGGAAUUCUGACGACCCUUUUCCGUCAUAAAUGUUUUAUAUAAAAAAACAUAUUUGCCUUCUUCUUCUUCUUCCUCAUUCCCCUCUCUCUCUCUCUCUCUAAUCCAGCGAGUGUAAACAUAUAUAACUAUUAAAUGAAUUUAGAAAACAAACUGUUUAAUAUAGCCAAAAAUGAACGUGAGUUUUUAGUUGAAAACCAAAAAAACAUACUAACUCAAAUCUUAACACAUGGUUUUUUUUAUGUUGAAUUACCACUUAAUUUGUCAAUUUUACCAAAGGAAUACCUCAAAAUUGUAACUCAAAUGUAAUACAUUAUACAUCAAAUAGUAACUCAAAAAUCUAAAAACUAAUCUUAGAUUUAACCCAAACUUAAUCUUAUAAAACAUUGCUUUUGAUGUAAGGAUAAUUUUUUGGAUUAAUAAAAUUUACAUUCAUUAAAAAAAACAUAAAAAUACAGCACUAUCUGACCAGAGAUAAAUAUAAUUGGUAAUCUUGUAUCAUUGCAAUAAAGGCAUCCAAAAUUUCAUUUGGUUGAGAAGUUCGGCUCGGUUCAAAAAAAAGCAGGUUUAUAAAAAAAAAUUGGUUUUUGGCUCGUUCAGUUCGGUAAUCGGUUAGAUCGGUUUCAAAAAAAAAAAUUUGUUCCCAAAUUUCAAUCCGAACUAACCUAGCUAACCAAAAUUUCGAAUCGAAGUAACCAAGCAACCUAAAAUUACUCAAAAUUUUGAACCGAACUAAUAGAAUUAACCAAAAUAUUGGACCAAAUUAACCAGACUAACAGAAUUAACCGAAUUAACCAAUUUUACCCAAAUUUUUAACCGAAAUAUAAUCAGAAUCAAAAACUUUAGUUAGUUUCGGUAAAAUUUUAAAAACCUAACUACCCAAAUACCAAACUGAACUGAACUUUUUUUAUGUUCGACAAGAUUUUAGUCGAACCGAACUACCUGAAUCUGCAGGAAGUUACCCAUCACAGAUAGAUGCACAAAGCAUUACCUAAAAACGUUACAUUUAGUGUUUUGGUACCACUUUUAUUGAUUUAGUUUAUAGUUUUUAACUAUUAAGUAACAGUUUUUAUACGGUUUUAACUUACCAAUCGGACCCACUAUUCUUUUGUUUUUGUUCGUUUGAGUAUGGACAUGACCAUUACAGUAGUCUCAUUACUCAUAAGUUAAUUAGUACGACAUACAUGUAUAAUUCAAGUACAUUUCGUAUAGUAAUUUCAAUUGUGAAUUUAAUAAUGAACCUAAUCAAAUUAAGCGAAAUUAAUUCAUAUAAAUAGAAGGUCCGCGAACAUUGAAAUGUAGAUCAUGCGUCAGAAUUGUCCUCUCUCAAUAGGAAAGAGCCAAAAGCAUUGGCUCAAGUGGAGACGAGUAAACCAUACACAUUCAUACGUUUUCUUACAAGAUAAGAUAAGAUAAUGUUAUUUCUACACCUUUCUUUAAUCCUGUGGCAGUUAACGACGACAUCAUGAAAUCUUGAUCCUUCGAUCAUUAGGGCUUUAUACCUCUUGCGCUUCUCACUAUAUAUAGAUAACCAAAGCAAUAGACAGACAAGUAAGUUAAGAGAAAAGAAGAAGAAGAAGUAGUAAUGGCUUCCUCUAUGCUCUCCUCCGCUGCUGUGGUUACCUCACCGGCUCAAGCCACCAUGGUCGCUCCAUUCACCGGCUUGAAGUCUUCCUCUGCAUUCCCAGUCACCCGCAAGGCCAACAAUGACAUUACUUCCAUCGCUAGCAACGGAGGAAGAGUUAGCUGCAUGAAGGUAAAUGUCACUAGAAUAAUUGCAGGCCUGUCCUUUAUUACACGCAACUGGUGCAUUCGAACAUGAAUCCUAUUGAAAAGUGUAUAUAACGUACCUAGGAUCAAUAAAUGUCCAAAACAAUAUAUACAAACUUGACUUAGUAUUCACCAAUUGGAAAUGUGAUUUAAUUUGUAGGUGUGGCCACCAGUUGGAAAGAAGAAGUUUGAGACCCUCUCUUACCUUCCUGACCUUACCGAAGUUGAAUUGGGUAAGGAAGUUGACUACCUUCUCCGCAACAAGUGGAUUCCUUGUGUUGAAUUCGAGUUGGAGGUAAUAAAGAAAAAAAUAUUUUUUGGAUCUAAACAUCCUUUAUUAGACCAUGUGAAUUCUUAUUAUGAAUGGUACUCUCAUGUUUGUAUAGCAUGGAUUUGUGUACCGUGAGCACGGAAGCACACCCGGAUACUAU
rnacentral:lncRNA from 1 species